rnacentral:lncRNA from 1 species
AAAAGUAGAGGCAUUAACAUUUGUCAUCUCUCCUGAAAAAUUAUUUCCAUCCAAAUAUAAAUUCUCCACCCCAUUCGCGCUGAGAAUCACAGGAACUACAUUUCCACUGAAGUUGUUAUUUGAUAGUUUCAAAAUGAUCAGUGAGCCUUUCGUGAUCAACUCUUCUGGUACUUUUCCAUACAAUUGAUUGUUUGAUAGAUCUAAAAAUGAUAAGUACUUCAUGCCACUUAAACAAAGUGGGAUAUUACCUUCAAAAGCAUUCUUGGAUAAGAGUAACCGCCUCAAAUGUGGAAAAGUUGAACAUAUACCAGUCGGAAUUUGACCUUGUAAUUUGUUUUCAGAUAUGUCAAUUGAAGAUACAUUAGAAAUAAGAGCUGACGAACGUGAGAGAGGACCUGUAAAUGAAUUACCCUUCAAGAUGAGUUCUUCUAACUUUGUGUUGUUUUCUAGCAACCAAGUUGGUAAAGUUCCACUGAGAUUGUUAUGAGAAAGAUCCACAUAUCUCAAGUCAUAUUGGUAGUAAAGGAAGGUAGGAACUUUUCGACUGAGUUGUUGAGAUGUUAUGCACUUUGACAAACUGAUGACUUCCAAUUGGAACUUUGGGAUUGAGGUAUAAAAGGAAGGUUCCAAUACCAUUUUGUUUUCAUUACUGGAGAGGGCUUUGAGGUUUGAAAGGUUUGCAAAUGGUGCAAAUGACAGUGGAAUUUGAAAAUGGUUUCUUGAAAUAUCUAACACACGAAGAGAUGUCAAGUUACUAAAACAAUGAGGAAGCAUCCCCUCAAGUGCAUUCUCACUCACUUCCAACACUUCAAGGUUCCUUAGAUCACACCAUCCUGAAAAUUUUAUAAAUUCAUGGAAGAAGUUUCAAUUAAAUCUUGUUUUAUAAAACAGAAUAGGAUAUAAUAUAUUACAGAAAGCACAUACAGCAAUCAAUUUGAGCCAUAAAAUUAUUUACCUUGAUUAGGUAAGGGACCAAUAAGUCCACAAUCAGAUAAAGACAAUGUUUUAAGAGAAGCAAAUACUCCAAUGCUUUGCAAAAUGUUGGUGUUGAGAGUAGAAUUGUCAAGAUAUAUUUCCUCCAAAUUGCUCAACACAUUUGAAUCUAAGCAAUGUCAAGAGGUAUUAGAUAACGGUAUUAUAGAAAGCCUCUACUAAGUGAAAUGCUUUAUUUUCUGUGAAUGAAAUGAAAUAUAUAAAUUUUUUUUAUGAGUGUUAGACUAUUCAUGAUUAUCUGAGAUAAAUUUUGAUGGAGAGAAGAUGUUGAAACUUUAAUAUAACUCUUCAUCCAUUUUAUUAAUUAUACUAUUUUUUUUCUUUUUAGUAUUUUCUUAUAUUAUUUUUUAAUAUAAGUAAUUAACUGAUAUGGCUAAUUUGUAUAAUUUUCAAACUCCAAUCAACAACACUAUAAAUAAUAUUUAUAAAAUAAAACAUUUCUACACUAAAAUUAUUAUAUUACCUUUAAAGUUACCAAUACUUUAAAAAAAAAUAAAAAUAGGUAUUUUACUCACCAAUAAAUAAAAUUCAAAAAUAUAUUUAUAUAUGAAAUUAAAAAAUUUAUAUGUAUUUUUACUUUAAAAAAAUAAAAACAGGUAUUUUACCAAUACUCUAAUAUGUAUUUUUAUGUUUUAUACUAUUAAAAAUAUAUGAAAUUAAAAUAUAGUUAUAUUACAUAUUUUCUCAUAAAUAUAUGUUUUUAUUUAUUUAUAAUAUCAUUUUUUUAUUGUUAUAAUCAUUUUUUAUCUCAUAAAAAUUCAAUAAAUUAUUUUAAAAAAUAUAUUUAUACAAACAAAAUAAUUAUAAACAUUAAUAUUUAAAAAUUAUGAAAAAUUUAAAGAAUUUUAGUUUCAAACCAAAGUCGAAACACAUUAUAAUGGAGGGUUUAGAAAAUGUUUCACCAAACCCAUAUUUUACUUUCAAGUAUGAUAUGAUAUAACUUUAUUAAUAUUUAUGACAAUAACUGUUAUUAUAAUAUCUGAGAUCAAAACUAAAUUUCUAAAUUAAAAAAGAAAAGGAAAUUUAAUUAAAUGAUACCUUGGUGGAUCACAAAAUCUCUCAAUUCAUUAUAGCUCAUAUCUAGUUCCCUUAAUUUGAUAAAUGCUUCCAAAUCUAGGAAAACAAAAACAACAAAUUAAUCAACUCCAUUAUAUUCUCUUAAAACAUUAUUAUAUUCUUGUUAAAAAACUAAUAUUUUUACCUUUCAUAUCUAUUGAUCCUUUCAAUUGAUUGACCCUUAUGCUCAACGAUUUCAAAUUUGAAAGCUUGUUAAGGGAUGCAAAUGCACUAGUAUUGAAGAGAUUUCCAUCUAAAUUAAGCUCUUCCAAGUGGGUCAACUCCAAUUUUCUACCACCAUCUACAAAAGAUUUAUAUAAUUUCAUCACUGAAAUGAAUUGGCAUAAAAUUUAAUUAUAUGUAAGAAUUUAGGUAAUUGGUUAAAUAUAAAUGCAUACCUUUAAAGGAUUGAAAGCUUUCAAUUUGAUUCCCACUUAAAUCGAGUUUCUUCAAAUUUGUUAAAUUGCUCAAUCCUAUACAUAUCCACGUCCAAUUUAAAAAAUCAUUAUGUUAAUAAUUUUAAUUUCUACUUAAUAUUUUAAUGAAAUAAAAAUGAAAAAGAAAGUAAAUCUAAAACUUGAAGUGAAGAUGAAAAUCCUCAAACGUGAAAUGUGAAUGUUCAAAAUUAAAACAAUUGAUUUUAAAAGGUUCUAGAAAGAAUUAUCAAGAAAAACAAAGUUAUAGCUUUAGUACCUUUAGUAUCUAAUGAGCCUUGCAAACUGUUCGACCUCAUAUUCAAGGACUUUAGGCUUGAAAGCCCUUGAAGAAAGGAAAUUGUGUUGUUCCGAAAGAGAUUACCACUCAAAUCAAGUUCCUCUAAGUUUGUUAGCCUCAAUUGUGUUCCAUCUAUCAUUGGAAGAAAAUAAUAUCAUUCAAGAUAAAAAUAGUUAGGAAAAAUGAUUGUUUGAGAAGGAAGAGGCAAUUUACAAGCUUUCCCAUGAAUUGAUAACUACAUUUUACAAGUAAAACUUAAUUGAUUCAAUAUAUAAAUACUUUGUUUGAGAUACCUUCCUAUUUUGAAAUACUGCAACAUUAACUGUCCCUUAAACAAAAAUUGGUUUUAAAGUGAAAAAGAAACAUAUAAAAGCAGUCCACCUUUAAUAUGAAUUGACAUAUAAAUACUGUACUUAUACCUUGGUUUGAGAUGCUUUCAAAUUUCAAUUCUGUUCCAACUUAAAUCCAAGUAUUUCAAGUUUGUCAAAUUAUUCAAUCAUAAAAUUCAAUCCCAAAUAUUGAUUAGUUAUAUAUUCAUCGUAUGAUGAAAUCAAACUUGAAUAUACAUUGAUUUUUAAAGUUGAAAAGAAACAGGUAAAAUCAGUCUACCUUGAAUAUGAUCCAUCCUUCCUUUCAACUCAUUACCACUCAAUCUUAAAGUCUUCAAGGAUGAAAGAUUUCUCAUAUGGAACAAAAUGCUAUUCUUCAAAGAAUUCCAACUUAAAUCAAGAGUUUCCAAGUUAUUGAGUCUUGAAAGCAAUUGAAAACCUGAUAUAUAUACAUAAUUACUUGUUAAUUGUUUUUUUCUUUCUUUGCUAUAUGAAAAUUUUACUAAAGCAAUAGUGGAAUUACAACGGAUAAAAAGAAUGGAAAACUAGGUACCAAACCCAGAAGACCAUCCUCAAACUCCACUAUACAAAUAAAAACUAACACCAGACCAAACUUAAUUUACCUCUUAGAUGACUUGAUCCUUCUAAUUUGUUGUGUGAUAGAUCUAAAUACCGGAGAGAUGAAAGCUCACUCAAAGAUAACAAAAUGCUGUCAUUCAAGUAGUUUUCACUUAAGUCAAGGAUCUCCAAAUUACUCAACGUGGAUGAUAGUUUUCCAAAGCCUAUAGAAAUAUUCUUUUAAAUAUAUACAAGUUAGUGACUUUUCUUCCAUAAAAUAAAAUAAAAUAUAAGUAAUUGCAAAUUAACGAUGGUGAGAGUAGUGGAAUAAUAAAAGAUGUAAUUAAGGAAAAACUAGAGGCACGACCUUCAUUUUCAAGAUUACCACUUAUGGCAUUCCCCGACAAAUAAAGACUCUUCAAUUCCUCAAAGGGAAGAAACAUAGAGGCAUUGAGAUACCAGGCAUUGAGAUUCCUAUUAUCCAUGUCGUAUUCCCAUUUUGUAGAAUUAAGGGAGAGUUGUAUGAGUCUCCUAGUGGUGGUGUUACACUCAACUCUUUCCCAUUUACAACAAUCUGAACCCUUCACCUCAACCCAACUAUUCAAUUGAUUACCAUCAUUGAAGAAAGGUUUGAGAUGCAAGAGAGCGAUUCUCUCAUGCUCCAAACAAGCAUCAGUAGUACACCAUCUGCAUCCUUCUAACACCAACAACAUUACUGCCAUCCUAAUAAACCUUAACCAUUUCCACUUCAUCAUCAUCAUCAUCUCUCUGUUUUCACUUCUCUCUCAGCUAUAUGUUACUUUUUUUUAACUUCUAUAUGUAUAUAAUCUAAAGAAGCCUAAGCUUCUUAUUUAUAUACAAGCAGAUGCAUCCCACUAACUCACUAUAAUGUAAAAAUAAUAUAUAAUUAAUUAAUUCCUCAAAAAUUGGAUCAAAAUCUAGGCUUCUUAUUUACGUAAAUUAUUUAUUGCAAAAACUCUUAGUGGAAAUUCGUUAGGAAGGGAUGAAGGGGCCACAAGAAUAUUGAUGUUAAUCUUGAAAAACGAAUGGCCAAAAAAAUAUGAAAAGUGAGAGGUGGACAUAAAAUCGUAUAGUUGGGAUUGCAAAAGUCUUCAUGUGGCUUUCUUGUGAGUUUCAUUUAUACCCUUCUUACACUUAUACAAACUUAGUCUUGACUUGGCUUUAUUAAUGGAAAAUUUAGGUCUUCAUUUUUGGUUUUAUUCAUAGAAAUUUUACUUCUUUGAUUUUGGUUUUAUUAAUGGAAAUUUUAAGUCUUCAGUUUGCUUUUAUUCUUGCACAUUUUAGGUUUUGAUUUUGAAAAUUUAGUUUUUUCAUCUCUAUUAUUAUAAAAUUUCUUAAUUUAAUUAAUAUCAUGAGUUAAUUUAAUACUUUAAAAAAUAAAAUAUUACAUUCACUAUUUUUUAAAAAAUAAAAGUAACUAUAAAAUUUUAUUAUUUAUAUAAUAUUUAAAAAAAAACUAUUUAUUUCUACUAGACCACUACUUUAAAACUAUCCAUUAUCAUAUUGUAAUAGGCCCAAUUUGCCCGGGCCCGGUAAAUAAAUAAAACCAAUAAAAUCAAAUAAAAAAUAGUCCCAAAACAGUCCAUUUACAAUGACCCAAUACCAACCCAAUGGCCUAAAUCUCUACCCAAGCCCGAAUCUAAACCUAAACAGGCCCAAAACCCACUAAACCUAAUGGCCCAAUACCCAGCUUGGCUGAGACAAACCCUAGCCUUCAGCAGCUUUCUGCUCUUGCGCUGCAGCCAAGCCGCUCCUCACGUACGAGCCUCAUUCAUGCGCCGCACCGAGCAACGCCAUCGCCAGGGACCACGCCUGUACUGUGCCACGCGAGCCUCCGUACAUGCGCGCCCGUUCACCUCUGUACCAGUACCUGCAAAUACACACAAGAAGCAGCGAAGCAACAAAAAAAAAGAGAAAAUAGCAGUAGAAAAAUAGGGGAUUUUCAGUUUUUAUUUGAUUUUUCUGGCUAUAAAAGCCAAACACGCAGAUUGUAUCAUAGGGGGAACUCACGCAUAUUGCAAAAAAACAAGGGGCAGAAAAUCAAUACAAAAAAAAAAAGAAAAGGUUUUCUCUUCCUUCAGGUCUCUUUUCUUCUCCAAUUGUUUCUUUUCUUUUUCGAUUGUUAUUAGCCUCAUAUAAGUAUAGAUAUAUAUAGAGUAAAUAAUAACAAAAAGGGGGGGUUAAAACGUACCUGGUGAUGCCUUUGAAUCCACGCGAAGAAGCCAAAAAGCCUUGAAUGGUGAGGCUCCGACCACCAUUCGCAGUGGAAUCAAGGCGGAGGGGCGGACUGACGGCACUGAAGACUAGGGUGAAACCCUAGCAGAGGAAACAAUAAGCAAUUUUUUUUAAAAACGAGUCUGCUAAUGUUUUUUUUAGGGUAAAUUUUGUUUAAAUAAUGAUACAAUACGGAGCCGUUUUGGGCUAGGGUUCCUAGCGUCCAAACGACGUCGUUUAGAGGCCUUACCCAAUGACCCGAUCCAGAUGGCGGCUAGAUCCGCGUGUUUGGUAGGGGGAGGGGAAAUUUCGCGAAGAGUCCCUCUUGUUUUGUGCCGUUUCGGUUUGAUUUUCUUCAUUGUUUUUAAUUUGAAUCGCGUAUUUUAUUUUGUUUUCAAUUUGAUCCACAGUUAAACGGCGCCGUUUUCACUAAUCGGAUUUGAGCAUCCGAACAUUUGUGUUUAUUUUCUGUUUUAGUCCUCUCUGUUAUUUUUUAUUAUGAUUUUUACCCUCCUAUUUUAUUUUCACCCUAAUUUAGUCCCGAAACUGUUAGAUUUCACUUUAUUUAUGCAAUGUAUAUAUUUAUUUAUUUUAAACUUUAUAUUAUUUAUUUUAAAUCGUUCUAUUACUAUUUAUUUUAAGCCUUUUUUACAUAUUAUAUGUUUUAAAUUAUGUUAAUCAAUUAUUCAUUUUAAAUAUAUAUUAUUUAUGUUAAACUACAAAUGUAUAUUAUUUAUUUGGAAUUGUUCUUAUGCACAUCAUGCAUUAUCAUUUUUAAAAAAAUAAUAAUAAUAGAAUUUGUUUGCAUAUUGUUCAUUUAGGAUUCCUUCUCACACAUUACUUAUUUUAAACGUUUUACAUAUUAUUUUAAAUUGUUUUAUAUGUUUUUUUUUAAAUGCUUUGAAGAUUAUUCAUUUUAACUUGUUUUACACAUUAUUUUAAUAUGUAUGGAAUUGCUUUAAUAUAUAUAUACGUGAAUAAAACGUAUUGUAACUGGUAAUUUCUAAAAUUUUAUUCUACGUUUUAAAAUUUUUAUCAUUUCGAUUAUGUUGAUUGGUUUACUUGGGAUUAAAUUAUUAUUGCAUUGAUUAUUCUUUUUUUUGAUUUUUUUGUUAGAUUGAUUAUUAGUUUAUUUGAUUAUCAAUGUUGAUGUAUUAUAUGUUUGGUUGCUCCAAAUUGUAAAUUUAGCUUGCUAUUCACCAUUUGAUUAGUAUAUUGAUAUUUUAUUAUAUUGUUUGUAAAAAUUGCAUUUCAUUAAAGCAUUACAAUUGUUUUAUUUCAAAAUUCUCAAAAAGCUUGGUAUUUAAAAAUUCUCGAGAGGAUUGUGCCCUAACUUACUGGGCUUACCUUUUUUAAUUUGAACAUAGAAGUUUCAAAAUAAAAGCUCAUUCUCGGGAAUUUGACACGUUGUGUCCUAACGCAUUGAAUAUGACUAUUAUUUUCUCGAGAUGAGGAUUUUAAGGCAAUGUUCGAUAUUUAGGAAUUUUGUGAAAUCGAACCCUAACUUACUGGGUUUUGAUUUUCUCAUUUGACCCAGAUAAUCGGACAUCCUCCUCAAAAUGCAUAGGUUUUAAAAGACGAGAGAUAAACUUAACUUGGAGGACUUAAAAUGUUGCACUCUAACUUACUAAGGGUGACGAUUUAUUUCUUUGAAAUAAGUGAGUCUCGUCGUCCAAUUCAUUUUAUUCAAAAUAAAAGGAUCAAAUUUUAAAAUCUUUUCAAAAUUUUGACAUUAAGACAUUAAACAUUCCAAUCGGUACCAAUUUUGGGCGUCACGAGGGUGCUAACCCUUCCUCGUGCGUAACCAACUCCCGAACCCGUUUUCUCAAAAAUUCGCAGACCUAAAAUUAUUUUCAAGGUGAUCCGCACACCACAAUAAAAGAUCGGUGGCGACUCCAUUUCCAUUUUCAAAAUUGAUCCCCAUUUUUCAAAUUACAAAAAAAUGGCUUCGACACAUAUAACUUCUCUUUAAUAAUUCACUAUUCUUUGAACAUUCAUUAGUUUUUGAAACAUAAAAUUUAUAAAUAAUUAUUUUUAGAGUAAACUACACCCAUGGUCACUUUUGUUUACCUUAGGUUACAUUUCAGUCACUUAUGUUUGAAAUGUUACGUUUUAGUCACUUAAGUUAUUGUGUUGUAACAUUUUAGUCACUGAGCCGUUAGUUGUCGUUAAUGGCUGACGUGGCACGUUAAAUUAUCAUUUCAAACAAAAACUUUAGGUUAAAUUAUACAAUUGGUUUCCAUAAUUUUUCGUUUUGAGCAAUUUAAUUCUUUUAUGCUCUUUAACUUUCUUUCUUUUUUUUCUUUAUUUUCCAUUCUCUUCUGCUUCUCCCUGUUUUCCUACAUUCUUUAUUUCUUUUAACAUAUCAGGAAGUCGAAUUGGUAGUGAAGAAAGAAGCAUGGUAUGGGUUUAUGGGCUUUGGUUAUGGGCAAAUGAUGACAGUCGACUUCCUACUUCUUUUUUCACUGUCAAUUCGACUUCCUAAUAUGUUAAAAGAAAUGGGAAAAGUAUGAAAACAGAGAGAGAAACAAAAAAGAAUGGAAAAAAAGAGGAAAGUUUAAAGAACAUAAAAGAAAAAAAAUUAAAUUACUUAAAACGAAAAAAAUAUGGGGAUCAAUUGUAUAAUUUAACCUAAAAUUUUGUUUGAAAUGAUGAUUUAACGUGCCACGUCAGCUUACCGUUACACCAUUAACGACGAUUAAUCGCUCAGUGACUAAAAUUUUACAACAUGAUAACAUAAAUGACUAAAACGUAACAUUUUAAACAUAAGUGACUAAAACGUAACCUAAGGUAAAUAAAAGUGACCAUGGGUGUAGUUUACCCUUAUUUUUAAUAUGACUUGAUUUUUACUUGAAUCAUUUUUGUAAUUAGUUAAUUAAAUUGGGUUAUUUUAAAAAAAUCCUCUUAACUAAUAGCCAAAAAAAAAAAAGCCAUCAUGUAGAAAAUUCUGGUUUGUUGGAAAAAUAAAGACUUGACCUAUUACUUUAGAUUUUGAAAUGUUCAACUUGAUAUUGACAUAUGAUAAUAUGUACAAAUUUCUCAUUCUUUUAAAUUUCAGUGAUAUUACAUGUAUGAUAAUAUGUUUGCCACACCAAAUUUGAAAAUAGUAGAACUUAAUGAAUUUAACAGAUAUCUAAAAUAUCAAAUUAAAGUCUAGGAAUUAAAGCUACAACAUCAGUAAAGUACAAGAACUAUGGUAGAAUUAAACCUUUAUAUAAUAAUUUCCUUCUAUGAACCACAAUUCAAGUGCACCCGACAAGCUAAUUAAUAAAAAUUUAGUGGUAGAAUAUGUAUAUUCUUGUGGGUGGAAAUUUAGUGGAGAUGCCCAUCAUCUUUCCUAAUUAAUAAAAAUGAAGACUUAGAAAAUGUGCAAUCAUAAUCCUAGUUGUCGUUAUGGCCCCAAGAAUAGGUAUAUUAAUUUGUCUCUCUUCAGGAUCAAAGAUAAAUAAUAAAUUUUAUAAAGUUAAAACCAUAAUUCUAUAAUUAUAUUAAUGUAUAAUUUCAUAAAAUUUUAAAAAAUGUAUCUUUCAACUUUUUUAAGUAAAUUGAUAAUUCGUUAACUCAUAAUAUUUUUUUUUUCAAAAUAUUUAUGAGAACGAGUUCGUAUUCUAUUGUGUGGAAAAUUUUAGUACAGAUAUUGGUGAAGCCAAAUCCAACUUGUUUGACCAAGAAAGUCUCUGUCGUGUGGAAAAUUUUAGUUUUGUGGAAAAUGGACAUUACCAUUUCCUUGAAUGACCAUCAAUUUCUCCAUUGAGAUAUAGUAAGAGGGAGUGAAAUAUAUAUAAGGUAAUAUUUAAUGUAUUCACACCAAAUUUCAUUAAUGAGUAAAACAAAUAAUGAAUAAUAAUGAAAAUUGGAGGAAAUUGUUAAGAAAAUAUCAUUACAUAUAUCAACACUCACAUAAUUCAUUGUAUUAACUUUCAAAUGUUGACUAUUGACUUCUACAUCAACCUUGAGCUUAUAUAGGCCCCCCUCACGGAAAUAAUCUCACAUUUAAUGCCUAGAGGUGCUUAUGGGCCGGGCCGGGCCCAGAAAAAAUUUUAGCCCGGGCCCGGCUCGGCCCGAAAUAUGGGCCUGAAAUUUUGCCCAAGCCCGGCCCGGUAAAAAAUUCAUAAGCCCGAGCCCGGCCAUUUUUUAAAUAAAUACCAAAAAUUUAUUUUAAAAUUAAAAAAAUUUAAAAAAAGUAUUUUAAAAAUAUUUUAAAUAAAUACCAAAAAUUCACCCUGCAUCUAAAAGGAGGUCCAGCACUCGAAUCCCAUUCCCCAUAACUAAAAACCAUGUCACUGUGACUUGGUCAUAUCUCCGUUCAAAGUCGGACAUGGGUAGUUAAAGAAAAAUGAAGAGUCGAUGCAUGAUAGACUAAGGACUAGCUCAAAAGUGCUUUUAGAAAAAAUUGCUCUUGAAAAGAGGUGUGGAAAAGUGUGCUUGUUAGUUUUUAGUGUUGUUCAUUGCUGCCAAAAAUCGCAAUUGAAAGUUAAAAUGUUCUUUUUAGACAUGAUAGUAGAAAGUAAAAAAUUAGUCAAGUCAUAUGAUUUUUAAAUAAUUUAAUAUAAUGAUACAUGAAAUAUAACUUUUAAAUACCUUUUAAGUAAUUAAUAUAAAUUAGUUGUAAAAUUGAUAAUAUAUAAAAUAUUUUGAAAAAAAUAAAUAUAAUAAUAAAUAAGAUUUAAACAAUUUAAUAUAAUAAUAUAUAAAAUAUAAAUUAAUCUAAUUUUUAUAUACCUUUUAAAUAGUUAAUGAAAAUAAUAGUAUUUUGAUAAUUUUCCCUUUGAAAUGCAAAAGCCAAAAACAGUUUUUGACUACAAAAGCUAUGUGUUGUUCAUCACUUCUGCAGUGGAAAAACACUUCUCCAUGGUGUAAAAACACUUUUACCCAAAAAGGCUUUUUCACCACAGUAGAGAAUGCACCCUAAAAUUGUAAAUAGAAAAAGGAAGAACCAAACAUUGUUUCUACCCUGUUUUUGUCUCCUCUUUGAAAAUACUUUCCAAAAGUUUUAUCAUUUUUUUUUCUGUUUACGAUGCCUUAAAUGCAAAUUCCUUAUAGAAGUGCUUUCUUUUGAUCCACUUGCAUCAUUGUAAUAAGUUUGCAUUGCCUUCUUUCUAUGUUGAUUAUCGUUUAUUAAGUUUUCUGUUGGAUCUUAUAGUCAAAUUCCUUUACAUCAUGUAUGUUAAUUUGCUUAGCCCUGAUAAAUGUUAGAUAUAGGGUUAUCAGCUAAUUAGGAAAGACUGUAAUGAUAGUCACACCUUACAUCCAAAUUUUUACAUUGAGGUUCCUUAUUAUUUUUUCUUGUUUCACCAAUUGCAUCCUAUUUACAGUUCCUUAGCGUUAUCCACUGUGCUAGGGUGGUUCUUGUUCAUAUAUUAAUCACCAUGCGCCUUCAGCAAAUGCAAAGCCAGCCAGCAUCUUCUGAUUUGUCAUUGGAUACUACACUUUCAGCAAAUGUAAAGCCGCCAGAUUUUCAGCUGUUUUUAGAAGGUCAAGACACAACAAGAGCAACAUAUGUUGUAUUCUUGUCAAACAAGAUAAGUUUUCGCAUAUUAACGAUUCUUUUUCCAAGAUGAAUUAUUCUCCUGUUGCAUUUUUAUUUGGGUUCAAAUGUUCUGUGAAGUUAGCUUGCCAGUGCUUGUUUGUUCAUCAGCAUUUACAGCUCAUUUGUCAUUGGUCAGCAGAAUUUCCGCUGUUUUUAGAAGGUCAAGACACAACAAGAUCAGCAUAUGUUGUAUCUAACAUUUAUAUUCAACAACUGGAAACCAUGUCAUAAAUACAUAUGAAAAAUAUUUAAAAAUCCUUGGUUGAAUACUCGUGCACUAACAUUUUUUAAAAGUUAAUUUUGUGUUACUUUUUUCAUCUCUAUUAUUAUAAAAUUUCCUGAUUUACUUGAUAUCACGACUUAAUUUAGCAUUUAAAAAAUGGAAUAUUACAUUCACUAUUUUUUUAAAAAUAGGAGUAACUAUCAAAAUUAAUUAUUUAUAUAAUCUUUUUUAUAAAAACUAUUUAUUUCUACUAAACCACUACUUUAAAACUACCCAUUAUCAUACAACUUCUCUUUAAUAAUUCACUAUUCUUUCAAACAUUCAUUAGUUUUUCAAACAUAAAAUUUAUAAAUAAUUAUUUUUACCUACAUUUUGAAUGAUGCAAUUUCUAACUAUACACUAAAAUACUCCAUUUAUCAAUUUAAUUUAAUUCAAAGAAUUAUGAUAAUAAUUGAAAUUUCAAAAAAGGAAAAAAACUAGAUAAUUGAAUAUUUAUAUACAAAAAUAAAACAAACAAGACAGACUUAAGCUUUCUUACCCCAAAGACAAGAUCUUUAUUCAAAAUGCAAAACUAGCAAAAUACUCCCUAAAAUUCAUCUAAACACAUCUUCUAAAGAUGUAAUACCCAAGAAGAUUGCCCACAGUUGGUGAUGCACUUCCCAACGAAAGAAAACCAAACUCCUCGCCAAUAUGGAUUUAUGUAAAGGAUAGCAACAAUUGUUAACAACAUAACUACAUAAGAAGCCAAAAAGCUCACACAAAAAACAUAUGUGUCUAGAAAACUAUCUUCUCUUUCAUCAUCUGAUAUUGUUGAUAUUGAACCGGUUUUGGAGCAACUUAUAUGAAGUAUAGGUCCACAGAGAAAAGGGUUCCCCUCGUAACUGCUUUCAAUGAAAGUCCCAAAUUGGUUUUGUUCUGGAAUACUACCUGACAAGUUGUUGUGUGCAACACUGAAAACCCCCAGAGAGUUCAAAUCUACCAGCUGGUUUGGGAUUUCACCACUCAAGUUGUUGUAAGAAAGAUCCAAACUCUCAAUCUGCUUAAGUUUUGAGAAUGAUGAAGGUAUAACUCCGACCAACUUAUUGCGUGACAAGUUCAAAGAAUGGAUUUCACGCAAGUUCCCUAAUUCAAGUGGGAUUUGACCAGUUAACUCAUUGCAAGAUAAAUCAAUCCCAGACAUGUAUUCAAGGAUGUCGCCUCCAUAUGAGAAAGAUCCACUCUUUGUGGUAAACUCUACCGAUUCUUUCAUGUAGCUAUAGGAAUGCAUCAUGUGCUCGAAAAGUAUACCCGUCUUUAAUAGUUUCAAUUCAUCCAGUUCUGAAAAUGUUGGCGACAUUAAAUCUGGUGUCAUGGUCUUAUCCUUAUUCAUUGGAAGAGUUAAAUUUCCCAAACAAGAAGGUAUAGGACCGGAAAACCUAUUUUGAGAAAGAUCUAUAAUGCUCAAGGAAUACAAGGUGCAUAACUGGACUGGAAUUCUUCCCUGUAAAUGAUUAGCUUUCAAGAGAAGGACACUCAAAGAAGAAAGUGUGUCGAUCCAUUUUGGAAUACCACCAGUAAAAUUGUUUCCUCUAAGAUCUAAUGUCACUAGUGAAGUGCUUUUAUUAAAAGCAAGUGACAAUGGACCACCCAGUCUAUUAUUGUGCAGGUGGACAUGCUCUAGGUUUGGAGGAUUAAAACAAGAUGGUAUAGAGCCAGAUAAAUUAUUUUCAGAAAGAUCCAAAAAUUUGAAGUUAUUCAAGUUGCAAAAUUCCACUGGAAUAGAACCCUCGACACCAUUGUUAGACAAGUCUAAUCUCUCCAAAAGUGACAUAUUCCCUAUCCAUCUUGGAAGCUUUCCAUGCAAUCUGUUGUUACUGAGAUCAAUAUCUGUUAGUGAUGUUGGAAACUGAAAAGUAGAGACAUCAAAAUUUGUCAUCUCUCCAGAAAAAUUAUUUCCAUCCAAAUAUAAUUUUUGUAACCCAUUUGCAUUGAGAAUCACAGGAACUACAUUUCCAUUGAGGUUGUUGUUUGACAGUCUCAAAAGAAAUAGUGAGCUUUUCCUGACCAACUCUUGAGGUACUUUUCCAGCCAAUUGAUUGUUUGAUAGAUCUAACAUUGACAAAUUCUUCAUGGCGCUUAAACAAGGAGGGAUAUUGCCUUGAAAGGCAUUCUUGGAUAAGAAUAACUGCUCCAAAUGUGGAAAAGUUGAACAUAUAUUGGUUGGAAGCGGACCUUGUAUUUUGUUGUCAGACAUGUCGAUUGAAGAUACAUUUGAAUUAGGAGUCGACAGUAAUGUGAGAGGACCUGUAAAAGAAUUACCCUUCAAGAUGAGAUCUUCUAACUUUGUGUUGUUUUCUAACAACCAAAAUGGGACAGUUCCACUGAAAUUGUUCUGAGAAAGAUCCACAAAUCUCAAGUCAUUUUGGUAGUAAAGGAAGGUAGGAAGUUCAAGACUGAGUUGUUGAGAUGUUCUGCACUUGGACAAACUAAUGAAUUUCAAUUGGAAUUUCGGGACUAAGGUGUGGAAGGAAGGUUCCAUUUCCAACUUGUUUUCAUCAGCCAAGAGGACCUCAAGGUUUGGAAAGUUUGCAAGUGGUACGAAUGAAAUUGGAAUUUGAAAAUGAUUACUUGAAAGAGAAAUGGCUCUGAGUGAUGUAAGACUUGCUAAAGGAGUUAGAUUUCCGGAAAAUCGAUUGUUGGAGAUAUCUAACUCACGAAGAGAUGUCAAGUUACUGAAACAAUGAGGAAGCAUCCCCUCAAGUGCAUUCCAACUCACAUCCAACACUUCAAGGUUCCUUAGAUCACACCAUCCUGAAAAAUUUAUGAAAUCAUGGAAGAAUUUCUAAUUAAAUUUGGUUUUCUAAAACAGAAUAGGAGAAAUCAGAUAAAGAAAAGGUCGUAUAGAAAAUUUUACCGUGAUCAGGUAAGGAACCAAUAAGUGCACACCUAUAUAGAGACAAAGUUUGAAGAGAAGUGAAUACUCCAAUGCUUUGCAAAAUGUUGAUGUUGAGACGAGAAUAAUCGAGAUUUAUUUCCUCCAAGUUGCUUAAUUCUAAUCAAUGAAAAGAGGUAGUAGGUGUUAAUGAAACGUAAGUUGUUUUGGAAUAGAAGAAGUAUUAGAUGUUAAUCAAGAAAAGGUGUUUACCUGAUGAGAAAGCCUCUACUAAGUUUUCUAGCGGAAUGCUAUCGUCGGUGACAAUACUUUGGAGACGAAGAACUUUUAACUUUUUCAAUCCCUUGUUUUCUGUGAGCGAAAAUAUUUUGAUAAAAAUUGUGAAAACUUCAACAUGAUUGCACUAAUUGUUUUUCUUUUCUUUCUAGCAUUUUAAGAUAAAUAAUGUGUAAAAUAGAAUUUUCCUUUAUUGAGAUCAUUAUAUUACUUUAAAUUUAUCACCACUAAAUAGAAAAUUAUUAUUAAAUCAAAGUUUUAAAUUUAUUAUUACUUAAAUGUUGUUUAUGCUGGGUGAUUUUGAUGAGAAUAAUUUAUUAUAUAAAAAUAAAAGUAUAUUUCUUAAAGUAAAAUAAGAGAAAUAUUUUAAAUUUUUUUGAAAGUGUUUAUAUACAUAUUACACUUAAUCACUCUUUUGAAAAUUCUAAUUACUCUUUUAAAUUUUAUGUUAAUUUUAAAAAGUAUAUAUAAUUUCAACAGAAAUAUUACUUUAAUAUUAAAAUGAAGAGCUUUUGUGGGUAAAAAAAAUUAUAUGAGUUUAUUUAAUUACAAAAAUAAUUUAAGAAUUUAUUUAAAAAAUAUGUAGUUGUUUUAGGCUCGAUCCUAGGGGUUAUUUGAGAGUGCGGUCGCCCAGGGCUGGAAGGGGCCCAAUUUUUUUUUCAGAUUUUAAUAUGGGAAAAUAUUCAGACUAAAAUAAAUAAAUAAAUUGCCUAGAGCUUUCAAAUUUUCACCAUAAAUACUUCAUCUCCUAUGGCUAAAAAAUUUUUCAGCUUUUAUUGUAUUACAUUUUAUAAUAUUUUUAAAAAGACUCGUUUAAAGACUUUUUUAAGUAUAUUAACCUAUUUUAAAAUUCCACAUUUUUAAAAUGUCUUAAUUUUCAAAUUAAAGUACAAACACACUAUAAUCCACAAGCCUUAAUUGCCAUGUCAACAUAAACCACCAUUUAGAAGAUUGUUUUCAUUUUUUAAAAAAUAAAAAAAAAUUAUUUAAAUGAUACCUUUGUGGACCACAAAGCCUCUCAAUUGAUUCCCACUCAUAUCUAGUUUCUGUAAGUUAGUAAAUGCAUCCAAAUCUGGGAAAGAAACAGAUAAGCUUCAUUAAAUCAUUCCAAAACAUGAUUAAUAUUUUUGUCUAUAGAGGCAUAAUUUGUCAAAAAAUAAUAAUUUUACCUUUCAUAUCUAUUAAUCCAUUCAAUUGAUUGAAACCUAUGCUCAAAGAUUUCAGAUUUGAAAGCUUGUUUAGAGUUGCAAAUACACUGUUAUUGAAGAGAUUUGCUUCUAAAUUAAGCUCUUCUAAAUGGGUUAACUCCAAUUUCUUACCUUCAUCUACAAAAGAUUUAACGUAAUUUCAUCAAUGAAAAAAAUGAUAUAAAUUUAAUUAUGUGUAAUAAAUUAUUUAACUGAACCCUAAAUUGUGGGUUAAUGGUUCAAGUGUUCGAAUUAUCAUUGUGUAAAAAAAACAAACUUAAUUAACGGACCAAAAUAUAAAUACAUACCUUUGAAGGAUUGAAAGUUUACCAUUUGAUUCCACCUUAAAUCCAACGUCUUCAAAAUUUUCAAAUUAUUCAAUCCUAUAUAUACUCAAGUUGAACAAAUAUUUUAAUAACUUGGCUGAAGUGAAAAGGGUAAAAGUAAGGAAGUUGAAAAAUCCCCAAAAGUGAAAGUACUAAUUUGAAACAAAUAAUUAUAAAGGGUCCUACAUAAGUAAGGACUUUAUGCUUGAAAGCCUUCAAGGAAGGAAAAUGUGUGGUUUCCAUGGGAUCUAAUUAUAAUCCUUGUUUGCUGGAUUCCACCUUUUUUAUUUGGCCAACAAAAAAUAAAUAAAUAAUAUAAAAAAAUUGUGAUUACUAAGGCUUCAACCUUGAAGUUUAAAUAGAAUUAUUCAAUCCCAAAAAUUGACCAAAAAUUUCCCUCAAACAAAACUUAACUUUAAAGUAGAAACAAAACCAGAGAAAGGCAAUCUACCUUGAAUAUGAGGCCACUUUCCUUCUAAUAGGUUGUAAGCUAGAUUUAAAUAUUGGAGAGAUGAAAAUUGGCUCAAAGAUAAUAUAAAGCUAUCAUUCAGAUGAUUUUGACUUAAGUCAAGGAACUGCAGAUUUCUGAAUGUGGAUGAUAGCUUUUCAAAACCUGCAGAGUUAAUAAUAACAAGUAAUCGCAAAAUUAACAGUAAGUUGUGUUGAAAAUAUGUGUACAUAAUAGAGUAACUAAAGAUGAAAUGAAGGGCAAAUCAAAUAUAGAACCUUCAUUUUCAACACAACCGGCUAUGCCACUCCCUGUCAAAUAAAGCCUCUUUAAUUCCUUGAAGGGAAGAAACAAAGAGGCAUUCAGAUACCAAUAAUCCAAGUAUCCGGACCUCAUAGAAUCAAGAGAGAGUCCAAUGAGUCUCCCAGUGGUGGUGUUGCACUCAAUCCCUUUCCAUUUACAACAAUCUGAACCUUUAACCUCGUCCCAGCUGUCGAACUCAUUAUAGUGAUUGAAGAAAGGUUUGAGUUGCAAGAGAGCAACUCUCUCAUGCUCCACACAAGCAUCAAUAGUGCACCACCUGCAUCCUUCUAACAGUAGCAGCACACUCAUCACUGCCAUCCUCAUAAACCACAACCAUUUGGAGUCCAUCAUCUCUCUGUUUUUGCUUCUCUCUCAAUUGUAUGCUACUUCAAACUUCUAUUGCAUUAGCCUUCAUGAAACUUGUUAUUUAAAGACAAGGACCUAAGGCUGAAGGCAACCCACUAGUCCACGCUGAAAUAGUCCACUGAAUGUGACGAUAUAUAGGCCCUACAAAGUGUGGUUGUGGAAAUAAUCUAAACACCUAUCCUCCAAAUUAAUACUAUUCCUUGAGAAAUUAUUAAAGGUCAAUUUCUGGUUUUAGUCCCUACGCAAAAUUCAUUUUGAAGGUUUAGUUUUUAUAUAAUUUAAGAUCAAAUUUUUAUAAUUAAAUUAUCAUUUACGUCUGCUUUAAAAUUAUGAAAAAAAUAUUUUAAAAAUAUAACGAACUCCAGCUACAGCUUCAAAAUAUGAUGAAGAUGUUUUAGUAGAAUAAAUCGCAGAAUCCGCCAUCUUUGACUUUUGUUUUCUUAUUGUGAGAAUAUCUUAACAUUAUAACUUUUGAAUAUAUUUUGUUAUUUCAGUUAUUAAUUUAGAUCAUAUACAAAUUUCUUUCGUGAUAGUCUCAUUUAGAUUUGAAGUUUGUUGUUGGAUUUGAAGUUACAGGAAAAUAUGUUGAAAAUUUGGGUUUAAUAUUAAAUAAAAUGGGUUGGUAAAAUCUAUUAAUGUUAGUGGCGUUUUCCCACAAAUGCCACUAUAGAACAUGAUCUUUAGCUGCGCUUUUACUACAAACAUUGCUAAAAAACAUGAUUUUUUGUGGUACUUCUAGCUAUAAAUGCCACAACAUGCUUGACUCUUUUAUAGUGUUUUUCCAAAUGAACGCCGCAAAUUUUAGCGGCGCUAUCUAAAGCGACUUUUUACUGGCACUUAUCAAAGCGCCGCAAUCUGUUUUAGCGGCACUUAUAAGCACCGCCAUAGGGCCAAAAAAACACCGCUAAAAACCUAUUUUGCUGUAGUGAUUUACGCAUUUAUAAGCCUACAAAAUAAUCACGGAUUCAAUUUUAGAGUCCGUUAUCAGCCCCUAAUCGGGACAUCAAAUUGACCAAAAAGGGCCCACAUGACCUACCUGUUCAACUUGUGUAAUUGCACACGCCUAAGUGCUCCACACGGCCUGGCACACGGCCAACUACACAUCAAUGUGGUGCACAUGAACUUGUGACGCAGAGUAGCUUUGAAAAUUGUAACCUCCCAAACCCGGCCUAGAUGUUAUGACUAGAUUGAGAAGGCUACAAUAGCCACCGAAAUGGCUAAGCUAACUUACGUUACUUUUGAAGACCUUAAAUAAACUCAUUUUAGAGAAAACCGUAGUUGUACUUUGAGUUAGCUUAAAAGCAUUCAUUCAUUAGGUCGUGUAUACUUAGGAUUCAUUUUAUUGUUGAUAGUGUUGUUUUACAAAAAUAGUUUGCUUAUCGCUCUUCUUUUAAAAAAAACUCGAUGGUAAACUAAUGUGCGGAAAAACCAUUUUUCAAGUCAUUUUGGAAACUUAGUUGCCUUAACGAUUUGUUUUUCAGAAACAAUUCCUUUUUAAUGCAGCGGAAACUAGGGAACAAUAUCAAAUUUUACUUAAGCUCGAUAUCAUGCAUUAUUCAGUUAUUAUGCUUGAGUAAUCCAUGCAUGCAAAAAUCCCAAAAGAAAAGUUACUAAGCCACAAACCACAAGUCAUUAAAAAUUACAAACCAAAACUAAUAGAAUCUGAUUAAUACUUUUUAAAAAUAGUCCGAGGUCCAAGGUGAUUCUUCGAAUGCCAAGUCCGAUCCUAAUUUUGAGGUUUACACAUUCAUUUGACAUACUCAGCACGUCCUCAAUAAUCACAUACUUUUAGUAAAUGAAAACAAUGUUCCAAACUUUCAAAUUACCAUUGUGUUGGUAUUAAUCAAUAUCGUUCAAUUUCGCAUACUUUAUGAAUUUUGAUUAUGCAUAAAUAGCACCCUAUACAACAUAUAUGUAUAUAAUAUAUGCCAAGAAAAUUUAGAAAUACAAUAAAUCAACCUAAAUGAAAUCAUUCAUCAUCAUUUUUCAAGAUUUUAAAUUAUAUUUUCUCAUUCCCAUUGUCAGUGUAUUUCAACUUGUAAACAAAGAUGAUGGCUACUAUAAAUGGAAUCAUUGAUAUAUCAUGAUAUUUGAAUUUGACAACUAUUUUUAUACAUUUUAUUACCAAAAGUAAGGGUAUUAAUUUUUUAAUGUUUAAUUGUGGUUUAGAGUUAAUUUAUUUAAAGUUAAUUGUUAAUAUUAUUAAAUUCAAAUUUUCGUAAUUGUAUUAAUAGAAUAAAUUUAGUGUUAAAAGUGAGUUUAUUCAAUUUUAUAUUUAAUUUGUUAAAUGUAAUCUAAUGAUUUUUUUGUGCUCUAGUGUUGAUUUAAUUAAAGUUAAUUAUUAAUAUUAUUAGGUAACUAUGAGUUCUCAUCAAAUUAAUCCUAAAAUUCAAAUUAAAUGCUAAAAAAUUAACAUUAUUACUUUUAAAUAUCAAAAUGUAUAAAUUUUAUUAAAUAUAGAUACUAAAUCAAACAAAAAUUAUAAAUUUUGAGUCGUUGCAAAUUUUUCCAACAUUUUUGGGGUCUUGAAUUUGAUAUGCAAAAAGUUGGUGGGAAUUUUAAGUCAGCAAAUCCUUUAAAAGGGCAAUGACAUAAUUAAUUGCAUUACUUUAAUGGUUGAAUUUUCAUAGCUAAUAUGUAUGCAAAAAGUUGGUGUGAAUUUUAAGUCAGCAAAUCCUUUAAAAGGACAAUGACAUAAUUAAUUGCAUUACUUUUCAAAGAUCGACUACUGACUUUGGUGAACUUAUUUAUAGAAGGUUAAAUUCUGCUGUUGGUCACUGUACUUUACGAAAGUUGUGAAUUUAGUCUCUAAACUUCAAUUUGAUCAAUUUUAGUCUCUAUACCUUUUGAAUUUUGAAAUUUUAGUUCUAACCCAAACAGUAGCAGUUAUCAAUUUGAUUAAAUUCUAUUACUAUCGAUUUAGUCCAAACUUUCUGAAUUUUGAAAUUUUAGUCUUGAUGCAAAUGACAAUCACUGGUCUAUUAAUUGGAUUUUUAGUAAAUAAUAUGUGAAAAUAACAAGUUUGUUGACACCAUUUUUUUGAUAAAAAUGGGGUCGACUUAGAUUUUGAAAAUAAAAACGAAAAUGGGAGUCGCCACCGAUCCUUUUUGAUAAGGUGUGAUCGGGUCACCUCAAAAAGUGAUUGUUUUUAAUAAGCGAUUUGAUUUUAUUAAAACAACGAUUUUAGUCCACGAAAUUUAAAAAAAUGGGUUCGGGAGUCGGUUACGUUCAAGGAAGGAUUAGCACCCUCGUAACGCCCAAAAUUGGUACCUAGUUGAUUAAUUAAUAUCUUAAUGUCGAGAAUUGAAAACUCGAAAAGAAUUUAAAAUACAAUCAUUCCUUUUUAUUAAUGUUAAAUUUAUAAACGAUGCUUGGAUAAAUCGAGGUGGAUGCUAAAGACCUUCUUGUCUCAGAGUAAAUAAAAUGUCAAUCCAGUACGUUAGGACACAACAUUUUAAAUCCUCGAGAACAAGCUUAUCUUUUUAUUUUCAAAACUCGUGCAUUUAAAUUUCAAAAGGAUAUUCGAUUAUUUGGAUCAAAGGAGAUAAAUCGAAACCCAGUGAGUUAGGGCACGAUCAUUCAAAUUUCCCAAAUACAGAAUAUCACUUUUAUUAUUUUUUUAGGAAAAUCCUCAUCUCGGGAAAACAACAUGUCAUAUCCAAUGCGUUAGGACACAACGUAUUAGAACCCAAUACGUUAGGGCUCAAUCUUCUCGAAGAUCCAAAAUACCGAGUAUUACCCUUAUUUUCAAAAUUUUCUCUUUAUUACGAAUUUGAGUAAAAAUUGUAAAUGACAGAAUAACAAUUAUGAUAAUGUAAAUAAAUAAAUAAAUGAAUAGAAUGAAAAAAAGUAAAAAAGACAUAUAUGUAUGUGCAUAUAUAUAUAUAUAAAUUAUAAAAAAUAUAUAUGAUAUUAUAAAAAUGUAUGCAUGUAUAUAUAUUAAAAGUAUAUGUAUAUGUGUAUUUCGAAAGUAUAAAGUAUAUAAGAUAUAUAUAUGUAUAUGUUUAUAAAUUAUAAAAUAUAAAACAUAUAAGUACGUAUAUAUAUAUAAAUGAAUCAUGAAAUGCACGUGUAUAUAUGUAUAUAUUAGAAAAUGUAUGAAUAUAUAACAAAAUUUGGAAUUAAGGAUGUAAAUGAGUGAAUAAUAAUAACAAUGAAUUAAAAUACAAAAUCAAUGAUGCCAUACAAUAGUAUUAAUAAUAUCAAAAUAAUUAAUUUAAUGAUAAAAUAACUAAAACAACAAAUAGAGGAUUAAAUUAGAAACUAAACUAAAAUUUGGGGUCAAAUAAAAAUAACUUAAAGAGGGUGACUCGGGACUAAAACAAAAUGCGCUGAAGGAGCAAGGGACUUCCAGGGAAAUAUUCCCUAGUCCUGAAACGCAGCACUUCAGCAAGGAUUAAAAUGAAAUCAGAAAAAAAUUUAUGGGCCAAAAUGAAAGAAACAAAAGGGACAAAUUGCACUGAACUAUAAAAGAGGAGGGGCUGAACGCGCAAAUAGCCCCUCCAGGCAUAACACGCGGAUCCUGACCGCAUUCGGGUCGGGUCUCGGAUCGGCUCCUGGGUUUUAUGCCAAACGGUGCUGUUUUGGCCAUGGAUGCUAAGGUCCAAAACGUCGCCGUUUUUAAACUAUAUAAACACUCAAAAAAUCAACAAAAAAAAAAUUCAUCCCUUAUUUUUUUCAAAAAAACUGAGAGUCUCCCUAACUCUCUCUCAACCCCCAUCCCUCAUAUUCGGCCGACGACCUUCUUAGGCCUCCGUCGCGCCACCUCGUAGCCGGAGGUCGGCGCCGGAAAUGAAAGGCCAUUAAACCCCUUUUGUGGAGUCCUUGAGAGCCAGGCUCUCUCAACCCGCGAGGAGUGAAACAAAAGGGGGACCCUCGACCUUGGCAGACCCGACUCAACGAUGGAGGAGAGAGCCUCUGGCGGCACAGUCACGGCCAACUCCAGUGAGUCACCCUUCCCUUUUUGUCCUUUCUUUUAGUACUAGUUUUAAAAUCAGAUUUUUUAAAAAAAUGAUAAAUAAAAUAAGUAAAUAAUUCAAAAAAAAAGAAUCGGAGAAGACAGCAACCUUUGUUUCUAUUUCUGAAAUUCGUAAAAAAAUGACAGACGAAGAAUACAAUGUUAAGAUUUUGGCCUUUAUAGCCGAUUUAAAAACCCCUAAAUUUUUAUUUUUUGUCGUUUUGUUGUUUGGCCUGUUCUGCUGUUGCGUGUGGUUUACUGCCUUGCAGGUGUCAGAGGCUGACGGUCGGUGAUAGGCGAGUAACGGCCUGCGUGAGGAGUGGCAGAGGAGGCAGAACAUGCGGCGCUGGGCAUUGGGCAGAGGCGUGCGGCGCUUUGGGGUUUGCUCUUGGCUGAAAUUGUUUAAGUUGUGGGGCAGUCGAGCCACUAGGGUUUUUUUUUAUUGGGACGUUUGGGCCAUUGUAAUUUUGGGUUUAAGUUUGCUGUAAAUGGACUGGAAUAGUUUUUAUUUUUUAGGCCCGGGCCAAAAUUGGGCCUUACAAAGUCGAUAUGACAUUACACAAAUGAUAAUAUGUUUGUCACACCAAAUUUUAGAGAUAGCAGAACUUAAUGAAUUUAACAAAUAUCGUUUACGGUGAUUGAAAUCUUAAAAUUUGAAAAGUACAAUAACUAAAAUAUCAAAUUAACUUAUAGGGAUUAAAUCCACAACUUCAAUAAAAUACAGGAAUUAAUGGUAGAAUUUAACCUUUAUAUAAUAAUUUCCUUGGUGAAAAAAACGCACAUUAUCAUUUCCUUGAAUGAACUUCAAUUUGUCCAUUGAGAUAUAAUCGGAGGGAGUGGAAUAUAUAUAAGAUAAUAUUUGAUGUAUUCGGUAAAUGGAGAAUAUUAAAUAGAGUGAGCAAGCCAUUCGCCUCACGGAACACAUUAACGAAAGACACAAGCUUAAUACAGUCACUAAAUCCAUCAAUUUCAUUAACAACCUGCUAAUAAUUCAAGACAAUUGUUGGGUCCGGAUGGAUUAUAUUUUAAAAUUUUCUUUCAAAAUACAGAAGUUCCUUUGACAAAAAUGAAAAUAUUAUUUAAUUAUAGGGUUAGUAAUUAGUACACUGAUAAUCUACUUAAUGCUAUUGAUUUUUUUUUAAUAUUAUACAACACCUUUAUAAAACACGUGUCAACCCUCUGACUCUGCUUAUGAAAUUUAAAAACUUCAAUGACAAUGUACCAACUAUUAUUCUUAAUUAUUAUACUAUUCAUGAUUUAAGGACAAAGAUCAAAUACAAUAUUUGCUUAAAAAUCUCUAAUAUAUAUGUAUAUAUAUAUAUAUAUAUAUAUAUACAUUUGCUCACUUAUUGUGAUGUAAUAUAGCACCAUCCAGCUAACCCUAGCUUUCUAGCAAGUAGUCGGAGGAAAUUAUUGAGAAAAUAUCAUUAAAUAUAUCAACAAUAAUUGCACUAACUUUCCGAUGUUAACUACUGACCUUUGCGUCAACCUUGAGCUUAUAUAGGCCCCCUACAAUAAUUUAGGCUAUGGAAAUAAUCUUACAAUUAAUGCCUGAGAAAUAAUUAUAGAUCAAUUUAUAGUUUUAAUCCCUAUAAUUACUCAAUUGAAUUAAAAAUUUUGUUAUUCUUAUUUAAUUUAAUUUGAUAUAUUCUGUUCCUCUUAUUAAUGUUAAUGUUUAGAGUCCCCGCUUGUACAUUGGUGAUUAGGUCUCUCACCAUUAAAUUAUUCUCUUAAGAACCUAACCUGCAAAUUCAUAACAUAAAAAAUUUACAGUCAAAUGUAAUCACACAAAUGACAUUCCUCACUUAAACAGAUUAAGUCGUUGCAAAUAUCUAAACAUAAUCAAAGUCGUCGUUAUGGCCCCAAGAGAAGGCACGUUAACUUGUCUCUCUCACACAUAGGAUGAAAUUAGUCUAAACCUAACCUUGGUAGAGCCGACCAUGUCGGGCAGACCACCCUACAUAAAUCUGAUUAUUUUAUCAUAGUUUAUUCAUCACUGAAGGAAGUAUGCAAAAUUAGGCAUACCAUUUAUCCUCACCUCUCUCGCUGACAAAAGAUUCAUGUUAAGUAUAUUCACCCUACAUAAAUUAUCAAGAGGAAUCACAGAUUUAAGGACCGUGGAAAAGAAUUCCAGAACCAGUUAUAUACAAGCAGGGCCUAUGACAUCCCCACUAAUUCUCAAUCAUAUAAAAUAAUAUAUAAUUAAUUCGUCUGGAAUGUUUAAGGCAUGGUGGUGAAUAUAUCAUGAGCGAUGUUGCUGAGUUUCUUCUGAAGAAUUGGCUAGCUAUUAGUGUCUAAAGGAUCUUUAGUUAUAUGGGGCUUAUGUUUCGGUUGCUUGAACAAUUGCUUUUCAGAGGGCAGAAUAGUAGAGGGGGGUUUUGGGGGUCUGGUGGUAUGGAGUUAUGAUGUUAUCAAUAUGAGAUUUUGGUGAUUUGUACUUGAUAAAGGGACACUUUUCGUGAGGGAUUGCUACAUUUUGCAGAUUAUAACAUUGUUUACAAGUGCUUAAAAUGUGUAAUAAUUUGAUCGAGAGAAAAAAUGACCAAAACAAAUGUUCUCAGCAUUUUUGCUUCAUUUAGAACUUGUAAUUAAUUUUUUUUAUCAGAGAAGUUGUAAUUAAUUGGAUUUGGAAUGAAUUGAUAAUAUCCUUACUAUUUCACCUUUUUUAUAUGUUUGGCGUGUGAGUAUGAUACAGAUUGAACUGGUUUUUAAAGUAGAAAUAAAACGAUAACAAACCAAAACAUUCUGGUUUUCAAAAUUUUGAAUCCAAAUCAAUCGAAUUAGUUUAAUUAUAAUUGAAUGUUUUAUGUGUUAUGAUGAUGAAGGAAGUUGAUGAGGUGACUUGCUUCAUCUUUCAAAAUAUGAGGUUCGUUUGAAGUUCUCUUUGACACAUCUUUACUAUUGUUUUUUAAUAACAAAUGAAAAGUCAAUUUAAAAAACAAAAAUCCAAACCAAUGAAUUUCUUUUAUACAUAUAAGAUAAGCUUACUGCAAAGCUCUUGUUUUUUCAAAAUAAAAUUUUGUUUUUGUUUUAUUAAUUUUGUAUGAAUCAAAUGAAGUUUAAUUUUUUUAAGGGUAAAUUAAACCAACAGUAACUCAACUUUGAUGCAGCUGACAAAAUAGUUGAUUUGGUUUCAAUUCAGUCACUCAACUUUCAAAAAAUAACAAAUCAGUCACUAACGUUACCAAAAAGUGACAAAUCAAUCACCCAUUAACAUUUUCCGUUACAGACCUAACGGGACAGGUGACAUGGCUAGUUAACUUGCCACGUUGACAUGGCAAUGCAUUUAAAAUUGGUCUAAUUAAGAAUUUGGUCAUUGUACAUUAUGAAAACAUAAAAAUUAUUUCAAUUGAGUAUCAAUAUUAAAUCUUGUCCAUUGACCCAAAAAUCAUCAUUUCAACAAAUUGUAUGUAAGAAAUUAGUGAAAAUCAACAAUUCAGUAAUUUAUAUCAAAAUUGAGGACUAGCUUUUCAUUUUUUUGUAAAUUACAUGGAUGACAUUCACAAUUAGACCUAAAUAGUGACAAAUUACAAAUUUAAACCCUAAAUACCUUUGUUCAGAGGAUCCGUAGCCAACAGAAUCAAUAAAACCGAUGGAGAUGAAACUCAUGCAUUUGGCGUGAAGAUGAAACUGGACAGAGUAGAACUCGCAUUGUUCGUCACCGUUGCAGGUGUCACAGUCACACGAGAAUCGCAUCGACAUGGCGCGUCGGCUAGUGAGAGGGAUUAGAUCAAGUCGAUGGGCAAUGAACUUGUCGUUGACGACGGAAGAGUUAACUUCAAUUUUGACGAGGUCGAUGGCUAUGUUGGGAACCUCGGCUAUCAUGACACGAUGGAGGGCAUUGGCCAUGGAGGCGUUGGUGUCAUGGCAGCAUAGUUGUCUUUGAGUUCUCGGAUUUUGACCCUUGGGAAUCGCUAGUAUGAAGCUCCUUCCAUUUUCUCUUCUUCUCCAUUUCUUCUCUUCUUCUUCUUCUUCUUCUUCUUCUACUGCCCAAGGCUCUUAAAUGGGGUUGUUUAAAUGACAGCUAGCCUACCGUUAAAUGUCAUGUCACUUUUCUGUUACAAACGUAACGGAAAAUGGUUAAAAAGAUUGAUUUGUUAUUUUUCAAAAAUUAAGUGAUUGAAUUGGAACUAGAGUGACUGUUUUGUCAAUUGCAUCAAAGUUGAGUGAUUGUUGUUGCAAUUUACCCCUUUUUUUUUAAUAGAGAUAAGCUUUGUGGUGGAAAUUUGUUAGGAAAGGAUGAUUGUAGGAAUGGUCCACAAAAUUAAUUGCAUUCCCUUUUCUUGAUGAAUUCUUAUCUUUGGGUCAACUCUUAGCUUAAAUACACUGCUAAAUUUAUUUUAGGUUGUACAAUAUAAAUGGAGCAAUUGAUGUCAGGAGAUAAGUUGGAAGUACAAUUAAAUUUUUUCAUAAGAGGAGAUGGGAUGAGAAGAUUUGAACCCAACAAUUAUUGGAAUUUAGAUUAUAAAAUUGGCGUGAAAUCAUGAAUUUAGAUUAUAAAAUUCUUUCCAUUUUAAUAAUCAUUUUAGAACUAGUUUGGUUUCCAAUCUAUAUUUUGUGUUGUGUUUUGUUUAUGUCAAAUUUUAAAGUAAAACUUUGAAAGUUAAAAUACAUUCUAAGUCCCUAUACACUUUGUACUUUUAGAAUUUAGUUCUCCUAGUUUUUAUUUUUAUGAAUUUAGUCUUUCUAUUUUUUGGUUUUCAAAAUUCAAGUCCCCAAUUAUUUUCACUGUUAAAAUUCUUCUAUUAAACUCACUAGUGUCACCUUUUGAAAUUACCAAAAAAAAAAUCAUUUUGUAGUCAUGUAAUAAUAAAGAAUAACGUUAAAAAUAAUGAUGUGGAUUUUUAUUUAAAAUACUCAUCCAAACUGAUCAUGAUAAAAUGACUUUUUUUUUUGUUGGAAUAGUGUUUUUAAGAAAAAUUGACGUCAAUAUUUUGAUUGGAAUAGUUUACAAUGUUAAUUAUUUAGACUAACUAAUGACAUUACAAAAAUAAAAUAAUGAAAUUAUGCCAAAAAUUAAGGAAUAUAAAUUAAAUCUCAAGUUUUAACAUAAUAUAGGGGCUAAUACUAAAAUUUGACCAUUAAUUUCCAUGUAAUAUAAAAUAAAAAUAAAAAAGUUGUGUGAAGCAGCCCAAGCUUAUGACAGAAAAAAAAAAACACGGCCCAAAGCUAAGGUUACGUGUUAGAAAGGGAAUGUCAUGAUAGGGGUGAGUAUUCGAUCAAGUCGAGUUAAAUUGAGUCAAAAAAGUUUAAGUUAGUCGAGUUUACGAAUCCUAUUUUAGUAACCGAACUCAAUUUGAAUUUUUUUUCUGAAUCAUAUUGAGUCAAAAAGUUUCGAGUCAAGUUGAGUCGAGCUAAAGAAUCCUAUUAUUUAUACUCAAAACUUAUAUUUACAUGGACCGAUUAUUUAACUAGUAGAUGAAGUACAAGAUUAUUUAACUACAUAAACAAUAUAAUGGUUUUGCCUUUUAACUUAAUGAGUAAAUAUUUAUCAAAACGAUAUAGUUUUGUCUUUUAAUUUAAUAGUUUUGACUUUUAACUUUGGAAAAGAUAAAUUCAGAUUUUCAGAUAACUCGAAUUGUGUAAUUCAUAUUCAAGUUGAAUAUAAAAACUUAAUUUUUUUAUUCGGGUUGAUCCGAAUAACUUGAUUAACUCAAAUAACUCGAACUAUUUAAUUCAAAAUUUAAAAUUUUUAUCAAAAUUUUCAGAUCAAAUCGAAUUUUGCUCACCCCUAGUAUUGGACAUUAUUUUUAUAUACGGGUGUAUAUAUAUGUGUGCGUGUGUGUGUUUGAUGUGAUUUCCUUGUGAGUUCCAUCUAUUUUUAGAAGUUUUUCCACGUAAAAUAUGUGUAUUUAAUAUUUUCAAUUCUUUUAUUAUUCUACUUGCUCGUUGCAAAUACGUUUGAUUCACAACAUUUUAACCUAAACUUAAUUGUAAAUGAUAAGAGAUAUUUUACGAUUAAAUAAAAAAAUUUAAACCACUAAACCAUUACCCUAAUAUGUCAAAACACAUGCAUUUUUUAAUUUCAAAAUUUAUGAAUUCCGAAGUAAAGAGCAUACGAUAUUUAUAUUAAUGUAAGAAAUGUAGGCUUGCUAAGUUUCGCAAAAUCAUAUUACACUUUUAAUUGAAUAUAAUGGUGGGAUGAUUCAAUUAUUAAAAACUAAGUUCGGGCAAAAAUGUAAAAAUAAUCUAAAAUUAAUUGAAUUAUUAUAAUAAAUUUAUAUAACUUAUGGAGUGAACCAAAUCAUGACAUAAUAUCAAAAAUAAUUAAGACAUGUCAUAUUACAAAUAAUAAAAACUCAACUUUAUAAGCAUAUCAAAAUUUAUUAUCAUGGCGUAUAAUAUGUUAUGAAAAAAGAAAAAAGAAAAAAGAAAAAAGAAAAAGAAGAGAGACAAUCGCUUCAUCAUGAGAUAUAAGCCCUUGAAACCAAAAGUUAGUUGAAGCUGUUAGGAUCGACUCAAUUAAGCAACAAGUAACAAAAAAUAGUGGAGUAAAUUGAGAAAUUGAACACACAAAUUUAACGUGGAAAACCCCUCCAAAGAGGAUAAAAACCACGGGCAAAAAUAAUUUUACUAUAAUGACAAAAGAAUGAAGAGUACAAAAGAUGGAGAUAAAAAGCUAAACCCCAAAAAACCCCAAAAACAAAGAACCCUCAAAACGUAAACACAAUGUAACGCCCCAGAAUUUUUAUUUUUGUUCUUGCAAAGGUAUAACACAAUUGUGUAUCUACUUUAGUGGUUAAGUGUUUUGGGUGUAUGAGAGGUCUCAAGUUCAAGCCAAGACUUGGCGAAAUUUUGGUAUUUUUAUGAAUAAGCUCUAUCUUUGGUCAGUAGGCUUUUAAGUAAGAGUCGACAAAUAAUUAAAAGAAUGAGCUUGUUCGUUUGGUGGAUAAGUGGAGUGUUGGUGUGAAGGAGGUUUUGUGUUCAAUUCUCUAUGGUGGCAUGGAGAUAGUAUUUUUGCUCCAAUUUUGGCUAAGAGUUGUGUUUGGGCAAAAUUCUGAGUAGUUGUGUUUUAGUGGGUUAAUAGGGAGUGAUUUUUGGAAAUAAUGGGGGAGAGGUUAUCAGAAAAUAAUCUGAUUGUCUUUUUAUUGCAUAAAAAAAGUAGAGUUUCGGUUUUCUCUCCAAUUACCCAAACUUUUUCUGACGUUUUCUUCUUUUUUUUCCCUCCGCUGUCGAUUCUUUCCCCUAGUUGUUGCCAAAAUUUCCAUUAUUUUUUCCCCUUCCAUUUCUUUCUUUUAUUUUCCAAUUGAUUUGGUUGUUUAUCGUUGGUUGCGUGUGUUCGGUAAGUAACGGUUUUGUCUAUUGUUAAUUGUUCUUAGUUAAUCUCUGAAAGGGGGAUUCCUUUUUGGUGUUUCGGAGUUAAUCAAGGGGCUAGUGGUUAUGAAUCGAUGCUGUGAUUGUGUGAAGUCAUGAUUACUCAAGCGAGGUAAGGGUUUUGUUAGGUUUUUAGUUGAGUUCCUUCCAAAAUUGGUUAAUUAAAAAUGAAUUAAGUGAUUAAUCUGGAGAUUUGUUGGUCGAUUUUUAGGUUAUGGAGGCUUAGGAGUGCUUACGCAUUAGAAAUGAUACCAGGUGUGUACCCGAAAAGCAGAAAAUGAGAUUCGGCGAAAAGCAUAAAUUGCUUGCUAUUUGGACAGCAGCAGUGGGCUAACUUUAAAAAAUCAUCAUAAAUUGUGAAAAUUGAAUUAAAGGAUGAAAAAAGUAUGGAAUUAAAUAUUAUUGAGUCUAGUUUCUCAUAGAGAAAUGGUGUAAGUAAUGGAAUUGUAAAUCGUGAGAUAUAAUAAAUUUUGUGAGACAAGGUCAGAAUGAAUUCAGGUUUCCCUUUUUUGACUUUGGAAAAUCAUUAAAAAUUGUAUAAAAAUGAUUAUGGGUUAAAAUUUAUAUGAUUAAAAUUCUUAAUGAGUAUAUUUUCAAGAGAAACAAACCUUAACAUCAUCUGAAUCUCGUACUAAGAGAUAAUUAAUUUUUAGAGAAGAAGGGUCGAAAUUAUCAGACAGCAGAACAGGGACAAUUUUGAAGAAUUAACUGUACUCAUUGGCUAAACCAAAAAUUCUAAAAAUUUUAAGGUAAGAAGAUAUGUGAGUCUGUUUUUCGGGAAAAUCAAGCGGAUCUUAAUUUUGAAUUCUGUAGCUCUAGUUAUAAAUAAUUUAGUGACAAUGACUCAAGUAGACAACUCUGAAUGAUCAUAUUAGUAAAUAGUGGAAACAUAUAUGAAUAUUUAGCUAGCAUGGGUUACAUUAAAAAUGGAUCACACGGCCAAGGCCAAUUUGGGCCGAGUGGGCCACGCGGGCACAUGGGCGUGUGGGUCCAUUUUUACCAAAAUGUUUCUAAGGCUGCACAGGUUGCCCAAGUCGACUGUGAACCUACUGUAAGGUCGGUAAGUGCUACUUAAACCCCUAAAUGUGUGAAAUUGACUGAAUGAUAUUUGUACUGAGCAUGUUAAUAUCUAAACUGAAUAUAUGUACUGAAAUUGCAUAAUAGCAUAUCAUCCAUGGUAUGUUGCAUUGCAUUGGGUUGAGGGUUGUUAUUUGGAGGAAAUGUACUAAAAGGCUUUAAGCCUAAUUUACUGGAAUCUUAGCUACAAACUACUGUUUUGUGCCGCAAUAUUCAAUACUACUUGAAGUGUAGGAAUGGGUGGGUUGAUUAUAUCCCCACAUGGUGUGUAGAGGCUGGUUGGCAAAUGGAGUUUUAGUAAGCACAAGCAUCGUCAUCUGUCCAUCAUAACUUGGAAGACAACAAAGAUACUCAUAAAAUAGAUCUGCAAACUGAAAAGAGAGAAGUCAUGUGGAGUGAAUAAGAAGAAGAAAGAAAAAAAGGUUGGUGGGAGGAAGAAAAAGGGUCGCGAUAGCCAAUCCGAAGGUUGUCAAUGCCAUUGGGCAAAAUAAAACAUAAUAAACAAACGGCUUGGAGAAAAAAAUUAAGAAAGAAGAAAAAAUUUAGGCAAAAUUUAUAUUAAUGUAAGAAAUGUAGACUUAUUAUGAUAUUACAUUUUUUAGUGUGAUCAUUCAAUUAUUAAAAAUGUAUUUAUAACAAAUUAUGUAAAAUUUUAUAUAAGCAUAUAAUAUGUUAUGCAAAGAGAAUCACUUUUCUUAGUUGAAUUGUUAUAACACAUUAUACAAAAUAUAUUUUAAAUUAAAGCAUAAUGUGAAUACGAUACCAACCAACAAAUUAAAUUCGAUGAUUUAUGGAUAAUUACAUUUAUUACUCAAUUUAAUUUAAUUCAAAGAGCUAUUGAAUACACAUAACAAUUAAUUAUGAUUAAACUUUAAAUUUCACAGAAAAUAAAAAGAAAUAGAUUGUUGAAAAUGAUAAAAUGGAAAGAUAAAGCUACAAACUUCCUCCCCACAAACCUAAGAGCUUUUUAUUCAAAAUGCAGAAAUCAACAAAAUAGUCCUCACAAUCCAACUUAGCAUAGUAAAACAAUUAGGUGGGGAAAUCAAAUAGUAAAUUCCUUUUUCCUUGAAUCAACACCAACCGACUUUGUUGAAAUCUUCACUAUAGCUAAUCACAUUGCCUGAAGAUGUGAUAUGUAAGAAAAUUGGCCAUUGUUGAGUAACGACAGGUUGUGAUGCACUUUCCAAUAAAAGAAAACCAAACACUUCGCCAAUAAGGAUUUAUGUAAAGAACAACAAAAAUUGUCAAGACCACAACUAUAUAAGAAACCAGGAAGCUCACACAAAAAUCAUAUGUGUCUAGCAAACUGUCCUCUCCUUCAUCAUCUAACGAAUUUGAUCUAGUUGAUGGUGCAUCUGGUUUGGAGCAACUUUUAUGCAAAAUAGUUCCACAAAGAAAAGGGUUUCCCUCGUAACUACUUUCAAUAAAGGUCCCAAAUUGAGCUUUUGGUUCAGGAAUACUACCUGACAAGUUGUUGUGUGCCACACUAAAAACUUCCAAAGAGUUCAACUCUACCAACUGAUUGGGGAUUUCACCACUCAAGUUGUUGUAAGAAAGGUCCAAACUCUCAAUUUGAUGAAGUUUUGAGAAUGAUGAAGGUAUAACUCCGAUCAACUUAUUGUGUGACAAGUUUAAAGAAUAGAUUUCACUUAAGUUCCCUAAUUCUGGUGGGAUAUGACCAGUUAAGUUGUUGCAAGAUAAAUCAAUCCCGGUCAUAUAUGCAAGGAUGUUGCCCUCGUACGAAUACAACCCACUCUUUGUUGUGAACUCUAUUACUUCUUCUAAAUUCUAUUACUUCUUCUAAGUAGCUGUCAGGGUAGUAAGGAUUUAUAUCCCUUUCCAAUUUUCUCAUCGCAAUGGAUGUUGAUUCAUCCUUUUCUGUAAAUGGAAGAUAGAACCCAGUUGCUAGACUCUCUUUCUCUUUCAUUGGAAGAGAUAAAUUUCCCAAACAAGAAGGUAUAGGACCAGAAAACAUAUUUUGAGAAAGAUCUAUGAUGCUUAAAGAAUACAACUUGCAUAACUGAAUUGGAACUUUGCCAUGAAAAUGAUUAUCUUUCAAGAGAAGAACACUCAAAGAAGAAAGUGUGUCAAUCCAUUUUGGCAUGCUACCUGUCAAAUUUUUUUCUCUAAGAUCUAAAGUCACUAGUGAAGAGCUAUUAUAAAAAGCAAGUGAUAGUGGACCUCUCAGUCUAUUCCCGUGGAGGUGGACAUGCUUUAUGUUUGGUGGAUUAAAACAUGACGGUAUAGAGCCAGAUAAAUUAUUUUGAGAAAGAUCCAAAAACUCCAACCAAUUCAAGUUGCAAAAUUCCAUUGGAAUAGAACCCUCGAAACCAUUGUUGGACAAAGCCAAUCUCAAUAAAAAUGAUGCAUUCCCUAUCCAUCUUGGGAGCUUUCCAUGCAACUGGUUGUUACUGAGAUCAAUAUCGCUUAGUGAAUUUGGAAACUCAAAAGUAGACACAUCAACAUUUGUCACCUCUCCUGAAAAUUUAUUUCCAUCCAAAUAUAAAUUCUGCAGCCCAUUUGCUUUGAGAAUCGCAGGAACUACAUUUCCACUGAAGUUGUUAUUUGAUAGUCUCAAAAUGGUCAGUGAGCCUUUCGUGAUCAACUCUUCUGGUACUUUUCCAUACAAUUGAUUGUUUGAUAGAUCUAAAAUUGAUAAAUCCUUCAUGCCACUUAAACAAAGUGGGAUAUUACCUUCAAAAGCAUUCUUGGAUAAGAAUAACCGACUCAAAUGUGGAAAAGUUGAACAUAUACUGGUCGGAAUUUGACCUUGUAUUUUGUUUUCAGAGAUGUCAAUUGAAGAUACAUUAGAAAUAAGAGCUGACGAAAAUGAGAGAGGACCUGUAAAAGAAUUGCCCUUCAAGAUGAGAUCUUCUAACUUUGUGUUGUUUUCUAACAACCAAGUUGGGACCGUUCCACUGAAAUUGUUAUGAGAAAGAUCCACAUAUCUCAAGUCAUAUUGGUAGUAAAGGAAGGUAGGAAGCUUACGACUGAGCUGUUGAGAUGUUAUGCACUUUGACAAACUGAUGACUUCCAAUUGGAACUUUGGGAUUGAGGUAUAAAAGGAAGGUUCCGUUACCAUCUUGUUUUCAUUACUCAAGAGGGCUUUGAUAUUUGAAAGGUUUGCAAAUGGUGCGAAUGACAACGGAAUUUGAAAAUGGUUUCUUGAAAUAUCUAACACACGAAGAGCUGUCAAGUUACUAAAACAAUGAGGAAGCAUCCCCUCCAGUGCAUUCCCACUCACAUCCAAUACUUCAAGAUUCCUUAGAUCACACCAUCCUGAAAAAUUGAAAAAAUUGGUGGAAGAAAUUCUAAUUAAAUUUGGUCUUAUUUAAGAGAAUAUGAGAUAUUACACAAAGCUCAUACAAAAUUCAAUUUGAGCCAUAAAUUUAUUUACCUUGAUUAGGUAGGGGACCAAUAAGUCAACAAUCAUAUAAAGAUAAUGUUUUAAGAGAAACAAGUACUCCAAUGCUUUGCAAAAUAUUGGUGUUGAGAGUAGAAUAGUCAAGAUAUAUUUCCUCCACAUUUCUCGACACAUUUGAUUCUAAGCAAUGUCUAGAGAUAUUAGAUAACGAUAUUGUAAAUAGAAAAUUAUAAUUGAUCAUGAGAAAGAAGUUCAUAUUGACGAGAAAUGCCGAGGACAGCAAUCGCCAUCCCAUGUCAAAAAAAUCAUUUGAGAUAAAUAAUGUUUGAUUUUCUCAGUCUUUUAUUUUUUGUGAAUGAAAAGAAAUAUAAUUUACUUGAAGUUUUUUUAAUUAUUCGAAAAUGCCAUUUAUUUAUUUUAGGCCAAAAAAUUCCAUUUAUUUAACUGUAAUAUAUAUUUUUAUGUUUUAUAUUAUUAAAACCAUAUGAAAUUAAAAUGAUAGUUAUAUGACAUAUUUUUCCAUAAAUAUGAGUAUUUUUUAUUUAUAAUAUUAUUUUUUUAUUUUUAUAAUUAUUUUUUAUCUCAUAAAAAUUUAAUAAAUUAUUUUGAAAUUAUAUUUAUACAAACAAAAUAAUUAUGAACUCUAAUAUUUUAAAAUUAUGCAAAAUUUAAAAUAUUUUACUUUCAAACCGAAGACCAUAGGAUUUAUAAAAUGUUUCACCGAACCCAUAAGCUGAAUUUUUCCAUGUAUGAUAUAAAACAUAAAGACAAGGAUGAGCAACACAAAGACAGAAAAUUAUUAUUUGGUAGUUUGUUGAUUUACUUUAAGGAUUUAGCAGUUUCAAUCAUGUUCCUGUUAUGCUUUGAUUUUAUUUAGGUUCAUCCAUGUAAAACAAAGAAACAAAAACAUUAAUUAGUUGAAAAAUAAUUAAUUGUGUUAUAACAUAAUCCAAACCUUGUAUUAACAAAUAUUCUGUUUUUUAACCUUUUUCAACGAUGAAGUGGGGAGCACCGAUUCAGGGGCCAAGCAACAACUUUGUAUUGGAGGAUCGAUAUAAAAUUAUUUUUUUUGGAGGGACUAAAGUUAAAAUUAUUUGUGUUAAAAUUGUUGAAAUUGAAUUUUUAAUGUUUAAAGUGACUCAAAAUGCAAUUUUUAUGCAUAUAAUUAAAAAGCUACAGAGGAUUAUAUUGAAUAAUUAAAUUUUAAAAGGACUAAAAAGGGUAUUAUACCCUUGAUUAAAAUAUGUCAUAGGUCCUUGUACUUUUCAAAAAUUUGUAAUUUAGUCGAUAUACUUUUAUUUCUAAGGAUUUAGGCCCUCUACAUUUUCAAAUUUUAGAAUUUAAGUUCAAUUGUUAACAUUAGUUUUUUUUCCAAUGUUUUGAAAUAAAGAAAAUAUUCAAUUGGUAGCAAUGUAACUAAAAAAAUAGCAUUAUAAUGAACCUAAAUUUAACAAAAUAAUCUUAAUAGUGUCAACAAUUAAACUUAAAUUUUAAAAUCUAAAAAGUAGAGGGAUUAAAUUCGUAAAAAUAAAAAUAUAGAGACUAAUUUACAAAGAGUAUAAGGAUUUAUGUUAUAUUUUAACCUAUACCCGUUAGCCUAGGGGGGCCAAGACCUCUGUCUACCCCUUUGGCUUUUCCUCUACACCAAUUGAACAUUAGUUUAAUUGACAUUGUUGAUAUUGCAACAACUCUUUUUCUUUAUUUUCUUCAUCUUAUGAAAAAUGUUAAUUUUUAGUUUUGGACAUUUUUAAUAUGCUUAAAUUUGAGAUUUAAUUAUUAUCCUUUAUUUCUAAUUUAAAUUAAGCUUUAUAUUUUUAUAAUUUUACUAGUUAGUUCAAAUAGUUAAUUCAUUAACUUUUCAAUUAAAAUAUUAUGUAGUUAUAUAUUAUUUAAAAGUGGAUUUUUAAAUAGAUUAAAUUCUUAAAAAUAAAAGUUGAAGGAAAAAAAAUAAAAUUUAAACAAAAACGAAAGUUUAGUCAAAUGAUACCUUUAUGGAUCAUAAAAUCUAUCAAUUCAUUUGCCCUCAUAUUCAAAUGCAUCCAAAUCUGGAAAAAAAAGGGUAACAUAUAAACCUCAUUAUAUUAUCUUAAAACAUUAUUAAUGUUUUUGUUAAUUGAGUCAAGAUUUUGGGAAAAGAAAAUGUUUUUACCUUUUGCAUCUAUUGGUCCUUUCAAUUGAUUGCUUAUGGUCAAAGUUUUCAAAUUCAAAAGCUUGUUAAGAGAUGCAAAGACACUAUUAUUGAAGAGAUUGGAAUUUAAAUUAAGCUCUUUUAAGUGCGUCAAUUCCGAUUUUCUACCACCAUCUGCAAAAGAUUUACAUAAGUUCAUCACUGAAAAAAAUUAGCAUAAAAUUUAAUUAUAUAUAAAAACUUAGAUAACUCAUCAAAUAUAAAUACAUACCUUUGGAGGAUUGAAGGCUUUCAAUUUGAUUCUCGCUUAGAUCAAGUUUCUUCAAGUUUAUCAAAUUACUCAAUCCUAUAUAUUUUCACGUCCAAUUCAAAUAAUUAUGUUAAUAAUUUAAUUUUUACCGAAUAUUUGAAUGAGUUUCAUAAAAUAAAAACAAAAAAUUGGUUUGUUAGGCAAUUUUUUUAGGUGUUGUAGAAAUUUUAAGUUCCUCCAAGUUUAUUAUGCUUAAUUGUUUUUCAUCUAUAGUAGGAAGAAGAAUAGUUUCUAAUUAAUAUUAUAGGCUUUGAAUAUUUUAUAAGUUCAUCCCUUUGAAAAUUUAAUUUAUUCAAUAUAUAAAAAUCAUACUUGUACCUUUGUUUGAGAUGCUUUCAAUUCUGUUCCCACUUAAAUCCAAGUAGUUCAAGUCUGUCAAAUUAUUCAAUUCUGAAAUUCAAUCCUAAAUAUUGAUUAGUUAUAUAUAUUCAUGAUAUGAUAAAAUCAAAUAACAUAUUGCAAGUUUGCAACAACUUUUCCUUCAACAUAAAUUGAUUUUAAAGUACAAAAGAAACAAGUAAAAUCAAUCUACCUUGAAUAUGAAGCAGCCUUCCUUCCAACUGAUUACUACUCAAUCUUAAAGUCUUCAAGGAUGAAAGAUUUCUCAUAUCGAAUAGAAUGCUAUUCUUCCAAGAAUUCCCACUUAAAUUAAGAGUUUCCAAUUUAGUGAGUCUUGAAAGCCACUGAAAACCUGAUUUAUAUACUAUAUAAUUAGUUACUACUAAACAUAAUAAAUAAUAAUACUCUAAUUUUACAAUAAAAAUUUACUAAAAUCUGUCAUUGCCUGUUGGAAUAAUAGUCUAUCAGAAAAGUCAUGCACAAAUACUUAUACCUUGGUUUGAGAUGCUUUCAAUGUUGUUGUAACUUAAAUCCAAGUACUUCAAGUUUGUCAAAUUAUUCCAUUCUGAUGAAAUUCAAUCCCAAUGUUGAUCAGUUAUGUUUUCAUGAUAAGAUAAAAGCAAAUGAAAUAUUGCUAUAGCUUUUUCUUAAACCAAAUUGAUUUUAAAGUAAAAGGAAGCAUGUAAAAUAAGUCUACCUUGAAUAUGAAAUAAUAUAUAAAUACUAUAUUUAUACCUUUGUUUGAGAUGCUUUCAAUUUUGUUCCCACUUAAAUCCAAGGACUUCAAGUUUGUCAAAUUAUUCAAUUCUAAAAUUCAAUCCCAAAUGUUGAUCAGUUAUAUUUUCAGGACAAGAUAAAAGCAAAUGACAUAUUGCAAUAACUUUUCCUUAAACCAAAUUGAUUUUAAAGUAAAAAAGAAACAGGUAAAACCAAUCUACCUUGAGUAUGAAUCAACUUUCCUUCCAAAAGAUUGUAUCUCAAACUUAAAGUCUUCAAGGAUGAAAGAUUUCUCAUAUAGACCAUAUUGCUAUUCUUCAAAGAAUUCCCACUUAAAUAAAGAGUUUCCAAUUUAGUGAGCCUUGAAAGCCACUGAAAACCUGAUUUAUAUACCAUAUAAUAAGUUACUGCAAAACAUAAAUAAAUAAUAAUACUCCAUUUUUUAGUUAAUUUGAGUAAGUUCUUGUUAGUCUUUUUUUCAUCUCAACCAUAUGAAAAAUUAUUGAAGCAAAAACUAAGUUACAGGGGAUAAAAGAAUGGAAAAUCACUGUCAAACGUCACAAUACAAAUAAAAACUAACAAUAGACCAAACUUAAUUUACCUCUUGGAUGACUUGAUCCUUCGAACCGGUUGUGUGAUAAAUCUAAAUAUCGGAGAGACGAAAGCUCACUCAAAGAUAAUAGAAUGCUAUCAUUCAAGUGAUUGUAACUUAAGUAAAGGAUCUCUAAAUUACUUAAUGUGGGUGAUAGCUUUCCAAAACCUGUAGGAGUGUUCUUUUAAUUAUAUACAAGUAAUUAAUGACUUUUCUUCAGUAAAAUAAAAUAAAUUAUAAGUAAUUGCAAACUAACAAUGAAUAGAGAAAUAGAAUAAUAAAAUAUGUAAUUAAGGGAAAAUUAAAGGCACGACCUUCAUUUUCUAGGUUACCACCUAUGGCAUUCUCUGACAAAUAAAGACUCUUCAAUUUCUCAAAAGGAAGAAACAUAGAGGCAUUGAGAUACCAAUAAUCCAUGUUGUAUUCCCAUUUUGUAGAAUUAAGGGAGAGUUGUAUGACUCUCCUAGUGAUGGAGUUGCACUUAACUCUUUCCCAUUUACAGCAAUCUGAACCCUUCAGAUCAACCCAACUUUUCAAUGGGUUACCAUAAUUGAAGAAAGGUUUGAGAUGCAAGAGAGCGAUUCUCUCAUGCUCCAAACAAGCAUCAGUAGUACACCACCUACAUCCUUCUAACACCAACAACAGUACUGCCAUCCUAAUAAACCAUAACCAUUUCCACUCCAUCAUCAUCAUCUUUCUGUUUUCCCUUCUCUCUCAGCUAUAUGUUACUUUUUUAACUUCUAUAUGUAUAUAAUCUGCAGAAGCCUAAGCAGGACCUAUGCAUCCCACUAAUUCACUGUAGUAUUAAAAUAACAUAUAAUUAAUUAGUUCCUCAAAAAUUGAAUGAAUCUAGACUUGUGCUGCUCUAACUUAUACGUUAGGAAAUAAAUGUUGACACAAUUUUUUGUUUUAUUUAGAAGUUGUAGUUAACUAUAUUUGCUUGGAAUGAAACUGAAUUCAAAUCAAUCAAAUUAAUUAUAAUAAAAAAUAAAAUAUCAAAAAACUGUUCAAAAUAUGAGUUAUGUAGAAGCCCUGUUCGACAUAUUUUAACUUUUAUUCUUUAUAUAAAAAUGAGAGUUACAAUAAAUAGUAAAAAGAAAAUCUAAUCAAAUGCACUUUUCCAUAACAAAAUUAAUUGCAUUCCUUGUGGAAAAUGAACUCUUGACUUUGCCGACCAUCCUCGACUGAAAUAGGCUGCUAAUUUUAAUUUAGACUGUAGAAAAAAUUUUAACCCAAUUAAUGUCAUUUGAAAUUAAAAUUACUUUAUAAACCUUUUGUUAGCCCUUAAAUUAAUAAACCUUUGUAAAAAUAGUUAUUGUAGCUAAUUGAGUUUUAACUCAAUCGGUAUUGGUAUUGUUGUCAGUAAAAGAAGACGUAAGUUUAAGUGUGCAGAAACGUGUGUUUUCUCCUAUUUAAGGAUUAGGGUGGAUUAUGAAUAAUUCUUUGAAUUGUAUUAACUUAGAAGCUUUGAGAUACUCACAAUUGAAUUAAACAUUCAAUAUAUAUAUUUAUCUUAUUUUUUUUUCUAUUUCCGAUAAAUAAGAAAAGAUCAUUCUUUACGCCACCAUACGAUUUUAGUAUCACAAUCAAAUGAGACUUUUAAAAGUCUUAACACUAUACAAGUAGUUAGUCGACAAAACUUGCACUAAUUUACUCUUUACGCCGAAAUUAUUUACAAAGUGCAAACAACAUUACUUUCACACUAAUUUUUUCCUUCUAUUUAUGUGGGAUAAAUAUCAAAAUUAUAUAUGAAUUUUAAUUUAAUGUGUAAUAUUAUAUAUAAAUUUUGAUUUUGUGUAAUUUUAAAAUGAAAUUUUGAUUUGAUUUAAUUUUCACAAAUCAUUAACAACAUCAUCGAAUUAGUACUAUAUUACAUUGAUAUAUUGCAUGCACAAACAGGUAUACUAAACCAAUAUGAAAAUAAAUAUAUGUAUUCAUUUAUUUAAAUGUGUACAAUUGAAUCAAAAUAAAAGUUUCAUGUAUACAUAUGGAUCACAAUUCAAGUUUCAUACAUAUAAUUGUACCAAAUCAAAGUUCAUAUAUCAAAUUGCACAUUAAGCCAAAAUUUAUGUAUAAAUUUAAUAUUUAUCCCAUUUAUGGGAGAUUAGCUUUCCAAUGGUAUUGUUUUAUUUACAUUAAUCCAAAUAAUUGGAAAUGAUGAAUUAGUUUAACGAAGAUUGUAAUUCUAUUAAUGUUUCUUCUCGAAUUUUUGGUUGCUCUUAUUAGCAUGUUUUAUUAAUUGAUAGAUUUAAAUUCUUGGAAUAUAUUCUAAUUAAUUAGAUAUUUCCUUCCUUCCAAAAGCCUUUCAAAAUAGGUUUAGUUCGACCAAGAUACUCUUGUAGAAAAUUUUAGUUUUGUGGGAAAAAGAAAACUAGAUUUAUUUUUUACUCUAAUUGGUUUUAUAUGCAAGGUAUAUAAACUUUUGUGUCGCUGCAAUUUUUUUCCAACAUAUGUAUGUGAUUUGUGGGGUUUCAAUUUUGAAUUUUUUUUUACAAUUUAAUUAAAUUGUGAAAGUAUUUGAAAGUAUUUGAGUUGAUACAAUGUUUAGAACUACCCCAACACCCACCUAACCCUUAAAUAGGAGGAUAAACACGCUUCAGCACACUCGAACUCACAUCCUCCUACACCGAUGAUAAUACUAAUGCCAACAGAGUUAAGACUCAACCAGCCUUGAAUUUUGAAUUUUACUUCUUACACAUUUUGAAUUUUGAAAUUUUAGUUUUGACCCAAACAGUAGCAGUUAAAUCAAUUUGAUUAAAUUUAAUUACUAGUCCUAUAUUAUGCGUACGAUUAUUGAUUAGUCUAUACUCUCAAAUUGGGCAAUUCUAAGUACCUAUACUUUCCGAAUUUUGAAAUUUCAGUCUUGAUGCAAAUGACAAUUAUUAAUCCAUUAAUUUGAUUUUUAGUGAGUAAUAUGUGAAAAUAACAAACUGGUAUAACAUUACACAUAUGAUAAUAUGUUUAUUCCACCACAUUUGAAAAUAGCCGAAUUUAACAAAUAUUGUUAGUGAGGAUUGGAAAUUAGAGUCUAGCCCCCUACAAUAAUUUAGGUUAUGGAAAUAAUCUUGCAAAUAAUGCUUGAGACAUCAUUAUACAUCAAUUUAUAGUUUUAAUUCUUAUACUUACUCAAUUGGAAUAAAGAUUUAGUUUUUUAUUUUCUUUUAAUACAUUGUCUAGAAUCUUUAUUCCAAUUGAGUAAGUAUAAGAAUUAAAACUAUAAAUUGAUGUAUAAUGAUGUCUCAAGCAUUAAAAAUAACUAACUUCAUUAAAAAAUUCAUUAGUUGGCUCUCUAAGACUUAAAAAUUAAAAUUAUGUGGUUAUUAAAAAAGAAUUAUUUUUAUUAAAUUAUUAUUUAAAAUAAAUUUAUCUCAUCAUAAUGAUAUGAAUUUUUUUUCUUUAAAAAAUCCACAUUAACCGACUAAUAGAAUUGUAUAAAGCUGCCACCAAUCUCUUGGCAUGAUGGCAAAAGAUUCAGAGGCAAGCCAGAAAGUUUUUUGAGAGGAGUGAAUAAAGUUAUAUCUUUUUAUUAUAGUAAAAAUGAAAUUUUAUUAUUUUAAUAAUUUAUAUUUUUAUAAUUUUUAAAAGAUUAAAUAAAAUUUUUUUUUAUUUUUGAGGGGAUAAAGUAUAAGUUUAUCAUAUACUAAUUUAAAAAUUUUAAAAUUAUAAAAAGACUAAAGAUGAAAUUUUUCAUUUUAGGGAGAUGGGGCCCUGCCAGGUCCCUUGACUUCGCCUUGAUAAAAGUAUUAUGUUGCAAGUAUAAAGUUUGAGUUUAAUCUCGAACAAUCUCAUUUCUUAUCCCUAAUUAUAAAAUAAUAAAAUAAAUAGAGCAAUUGAUGUGAGGAGGCAAGUGUAAUAGGUCAAUUUUGACCUGGGCCAGAUUUCAAAACAAAACCCAAAUUAAAUAAUAAAAGAGUCCAAAAUAAUUAAAACAAUCCAUCCAUUUUACAAACAAACCCAAAUUAGCAGCCCAAAUACAAAUUAAAACUCAAUAACUCAAAACUAACCCUAGCCCAAUUAGCUCAACACUUAAACACAACAAAAAAACCCCUAGCCCCCUAAGCCUCCAACGCCGCAUGACCACCUGUGCCGCACGCCGCCGCCGCUCAAGGCUUGCCUAUCACCGACCAUCCACGCGUCUAACACUUGCAAAACCAAGGCAACAUGCAACAACAAAGGCCAAAUAGAGGAAACAACAAGGAAACAGACAAAAAAGGAAGAAACAAACAGUUUUGAUUUGGCUACAAAAGCCCGAAUCUCACCCUUGUAAUUUUUUCAAGAACAUUAGAAAAUAAAAAAACAAAAACAACACUUUCAAGGUGAAUUUCUACUUUUAUUUCUGUUUUAAAUACCUAUUUGAUUCUAUAUUCAUAUUUUUAUUUGAUUUUAUAUAUAUAAUAAAAUAAUAAAAUAAAAAAAGGAAGAAAGGGCUCACCGGAGACGCCCCGUGACCGCGCCGUCGGAGGGCUCUUCUCCAUUGUUGCCAUCGAAUCCGAGAGAGGGUCGGGAGUACUCCUCUUUUGUUUUUUUUGGGUCGAGAGGGCUGGGCUUCCAAGGGAGCUGUGAAACGGGGGCUAAAAACGACCUUUUGCGCAACGCCGGCCACCGGCCACAGGCCACAGCGGCGCUGCGGCGGCAACCCUGGCCUGCCAAGGGGUGGGCUGAGAGAGAGACCAAGAGAGACUGAGAGAGUUCUCUAUUUUUUUAGAAAAAUAAAAGUUGAACUGUUUUUUUCUUUUUCUUUUUGCUAUUUAUAUAGGGUAUAAAACUGCGUCGUUUUGGACUUAAGCAUCAGUGGCCAAAAUGACGCUGUUUUGCAUCAGACCCGAAAGCCAACCCGAAUGCAGUCAGGAUCCUAGCGCAUUUUAGCUUUGAGGAGCUAUUUGCAUAUUCAACCCUUCCGCUUUUGCAAUAUAGUGCAAUUUGGUCCUCGUUGUUUUUAUAUUUUGGCCGCAUAAUUUUCUGAUUGUUUUACUUUGGUUCGAGCUAAAACGCUACGCAUGGGGGCUGGGAAUAUUUGCCAGUCGGUCCCUCAUUCCUUAAGCACGCUCUAUUUCAGUCCCUAGGCUUUUUUUAUUUAUUUGCAAUUUGAACCCCAAAUUUUGGGUCGAUUUCAGUAUCAUCCUUAGUCCAUUUAAUUUAUUUGUUCAUUAUUAUUUUUUAUUUAAAAAGCUCUUUUAUUAUUAUUUGUUUUAAGUUUUUUAUUUAUCAUUUACUUUAAACUGUUUUACAUACUAUUUAUUUAAAAUUUUUUUAUAUUAUUCAUUUUAAACCAUUAUAUGUACAUUAUCUUUUAAAUUCUUAUAUACAUAUAUAUAUGUCGAAACCGUUUUUUUGAAAACAAAAAUUUUUAGUUUCGACUUAAAAAUAAAAACUGGAGUCGCCACCGAUCCUUGAUUGAGGUGUGACCGGCUCACCUUAAAAACAAUUUUGGUCUACGAGAUUUGAGAAAAUGAGUCCGGGAGUCAGUUACGCACGAGGAAGGAUUAGCACCCUCGUAACACCCAAAAUCGGUACCAAAUUGAUUCUUUAAUGCCUUGGUGUCGAAAAUUUGAAAAGAUUUUAAAAGGAAACUUUUUAUUUCAUGAAUGAAUCAAAAUAAUAAGACAUUCUUAUUUCAAAGAAAUAAAACACCACACCCAGUGAGUUAGGGCACAAUAUUUUUAAAUCUUCAAAAUACCCGAAUAUUACCUUUUGCUUUUGAAAAUUCUUAUUUCGAGAAGUCAAAAUAUCAGGACCAGUAAGUUAGGACCCAACAUUUUUGAACUCCCAAGAAUAAGCUUUUAUUUAAAAUUUACGAAUUUAUUGCAAAACAAAUACUUGGCUUUCUAAAUUCAUCGAAAAAUAAUCACGAUCCAGUCAGUUAGGACACGAUCUUUCUCGAGAAUCAUGAAUGCCAAAUAUUUUGGAAAUUUGUAAAAUAUGAUGAUUUUAAUGCCUUGACGAAGCCAAUAUAUAUUUUCUUUAAAAGCAUGAUAAAAUGUUAAUGCAUAACAUGAAACCAAUACUUUAAUUUAAAUCGUAUGUAUAUAUGUAUUUGCAAAUCGCGAAAAUAAAAUAAAUAUAAAUGUAUGGAUAUGUCAUGAAAAUAUGUGUGCAUUUAAAUAUAUGUAUAUAUGUACAAUAUGUAUAAAACCAUGAAAUAUAUAAAAUAAUAAAGAAAAAUGUGUACGUAUAUGUAACAGAGAAUGCAUGUAUGCUUUAAAUUAUAAGAUAUAGGAAAUAAAUAUGUUACAACAAUGUAUAUCUAUAUAAAAUAUAAAUGUAUAUAAAAGUAAGUAAAAGUUAUGCAAGUAGAAUAAUAAAAAAUAUAUAUAUGUAAGGUGCAUGGGUUUAUAAAAAUUAUUUUUAAGAAAAAAUGUAUGCAUAUAUUAUUGUAGAGAAUAAGCAUAUGUAUAUAUAUAGUAAUGGUAAUAAUAAUAAUGAUAAUAAUAAUAAAAAUGAUAAUAGUAAUAAUAAUAAUAAUAAUAAUAAUAAUAAUAAUAUAUGACAUAAUUAAUAAUAUAAAAAACAACAAAUUAAGGAUUAAAUUGGAAAUAAGCGAAGUUUUGAAACUAAAUUUAAAGAUGGGAAUUAAAUAAGGACCAAAUUAAGAUGCGCGCAACAGUAGGAGGAUCGAAAAGAUAAUUUGCCCAAACCUCCCAAAUGCUGCGCAGCAACAUGGACCAAAUUGAAACAGUAUUAAAACAUAUGGCCUAAUUUAAAAAAAUAAAAAGACGGAUUUAAACACCCCUCAUAAAACAGAGGACCAAAUGUGAAAUUGUCCCCUUUCACAGAAAUGCGCGGAUCCUUCCCCGGGUCGGGUCACCGCACGGGUCGUAGGGCUGAAACGGCGCCGUUUUUGUGCUUACCCUUCGGCCCAAAACAGUGCCGUUUUCGGUAAGCUAUAAAUACAAUGUUUUUUUUUAAAAAACUCAUUGUUCUUUCUAUUUCAAAAAAAAAACAAAAAAAAAAUUUCCUUUUCUCUCAAGCAGGCCCAAAAUCCGGCCAAACUCCGGCGAGUGGCCACUGCGCCGUUCACGGCGGCGGGGAGUAAAAAAUCUCGCCUUUUUUAAACUGUUUUUAGAUCCCGUUCAAUAGUCAAACUGCUUUGGCUCAAAAGGAUGACCCUUGGCCCCUUCUCCUCUCGGAUCCGACGUUCUUGAAGGAGGAGAGCCCUCCGACGGUGAACCCGCAAGGCAAAUCAGGUAAGCCCGUUCCCCUUUUACUUCUUAUUUAUUAUGCGUAAAAAAAACAAACAGAAAGAGCAAACAAGGAAAAAAAAAACCGAAUCUAAGGGAAAAAAAAACCUCCGUUUUGUAUUUUAUUUUUUCAAAUCUUUUUUCUUCGUAUUUUCCUCUCUAUUUUCGUAUGUCUUUACACUCAAGACCCCCCUUUUCAGAUCUCCCCCCACGGCUUUUAAAUAGUCGAAAAUAACAACAAAAUAAGCAACAAAAUCAUAUCUCCCUUCAAUAUUGGUUGCGAUUUUUGCUACUACUCUGCUAUUGCUGCGCCAUAUGCUUCUUUUUCGCAGGUGUGGUGGCUGUUGAGUGCGUGGGAGCGACAAGCGCGAUGUGCGGCGCUUGCGGAGGGGUGGUGCGCAGGGUGAUGCGGCGCUGAAGCAGAAAGGGCUAGGGUUUCUGGACUGGGCUAGGGUUAAUGUAAUUGGGCUAAAUUUUUGGGUUUAGUCUGUAGAUGGGUAAUUGGGUCUGCUAUGUUUUUAUUUUAUAUGGGCCCGGGCAGAAAAAUUGGGUAUUACAAUAUAUAUUAAAAAAAACUGUUGUAUGUUUCUUAUUUAUUUAUUUUAAACUGUUAUUAUUAUUCAUUUUAAGUUUUUAUAUACUGUUUAUUUGAAGCCUUUUAUUAUUUAUUUUUGAAUUGUUCUUAUAAAUUAUUUAAUUUAAAUUAUUAUUCUUUGAAUUUUUUUUUUUGCAUAUUAUUUUGUUUUGUUUUCUUUGAUUGUUAAUAUUAGUAUAAAAAAUGAUAUACAUUGUGUGACUAUUACCAUCAUGUGUACUAUAAUUAGUUUCUUCGUGUUUUCAUAUUAUUAUCACUCAUUAACAUAUAUAACAUUUUUUCAUAAAUUGUUAUUUUAUGUUCUAUGUUAUCAUUCCAUUUCACUUCAUCACUUUGAAAUUAAGUUGCCUUCAAUUUGUGUUUACCCAUAAUAAACCGUUCUAUUUUGUCACAAAUAAAACAAAUGCACCUCGUUCAAGCAUUGUACUCGCAAUUAUUCAAAAAAGAGAAAAAUUUUAAAAUAAGGCAAUAUUUCGCAUUUUGGAGAUUCGAGAAAUUGUACCCUAACUUACGAGGUUUCAAUUUUCUCAUUGAACCUAAAUAGCAAAAUAUCUUUCUAAUUUUCAAAAUUUACGAAUUCCAAUAAAGUUAAAGGCUAGCUUAUUCUCGAGGGUUUCAAGUGUCGUGUCCUAACUUACGGGAUGUGACAUUUAUUAUCUUGAGACGAGAGGAUCUUUGGCAUUUGUUUAGAUUUAUUCAAGCAAAUUCUUUUAAAUUGAAAUAGCGUUAACAAAAGGGGGAUUGUGUUUUAAAUUCUUUCGAAGUUUUUCAAUUUUUAAUAUUUAGACAUUAAUUAAUCAAUUGGGUACCAAUUUUGGGCGUGACGAGGAUGCUAAUCUUUCCUCGCAUGUAACUGAUUCCCGAAUCCGUUUUCUCAAAUUUCGCAGACCAAAAUCACUGUUUUGAUAAAUUAAAAUAUUUUAUUAAAACAACUAAAUUAUGAGAUGACCUAAUCACACCUCGUAAAAAAAAUAUUGGUGGCGACUCCCGUUUUAAUUUCCGUUUUCAAACCAACACCGACCCUUUUAAAAAAAAUGGUUUCAAUAUUAAGUUAUAAGUGAAUGAAUUAAAAAUAUGUGAAAAGUGUAAAUAAAGACUCUUCAAUCUCAUUUCCUCUAAUGCUCUUUUUUUUUUUAAUCAGAGAAGUUGUAAUUGACUGGAAUGAAAUUAAUAAUCGCCUUAUUAUUUCACUUUUUUUCUUCAUAUGUUUGGCGUCAGUACAGGUUGGACUGAUUUUAAAGUUGAAGUAAAACGAUAUCAAACAAAAACCAUUCUGGUUUUUAAAAUUAUGAGUCCAAAUCAAUCCAAUUAGUUUAACUAGAUUUUAAUGUCUUAUGUGUUAUGAUGAUGAAGCAAGUUGAUCAAGGGACUUGCUUCAUCUUUCAAAAUAUGAGUUGCUUAAGAGCCCUGUUUGACGCUUUUUUUUUUCUUAAAUUACAAACGAAAAGGUAUUUUUUAAAAAAAAAUUAACUUAAUGAAUUUUUUAUAGAUAUAAAUUUCCUGCAAAGUUAUUCUUUUUGAAAAAAUAUUUUUUUAAUUUUUUAUAUACCUUUUAAAUAGUUAAUGAAAAUAAGAGUUUUCAUUUCGAAAUGCAAAAGCCAAAAACAGUUUUUGACUACAAAAGCUGUGUGUUCUUCAUCACUUCUGCAGUGGAAAAACACUUCUGCAGUGUAAAAACACUUUUAACCCAAAACGGGUUUUCACCUAAGUAGAGAAUCCACCCUAAAAUUGUAAAUAGAAAAAGGAAGGACCAAACAUUGUUUCUACCCUGUUUUUGUCUCCUCUUUGAAAAUACUUUCCAAAAAGUUUUAUCAUUUUCUUUUUAUUAAGUUUUCUGUUGGAUCUUAUAGUCAAAUUCCUUUACAUCAUGUACGUUAAUUUGCUUCGCUCUGAUAAAUGUUAGAUAUAGGGUUAUCAGCUAAUUAGGAAAGACUGAUGAUAGUCACCCCUUACAUCCAAAAGCAAAGCUUUUUUCACAUGUGUAUGUAAGGUUGCUAAGCAAAUCUGAUGAGCCUUCACUGAUGUUUUAAGGUUUAAGUUGAUGUUCCUUUUCGGCAAAGAACAUUAUCGAGAUCACAGAAUUUUGAUCGCCUUUUGCUUGUUAUGUUAUUCGUUCUUAAACGAUUGCAUAAUCUUUACUGUGAUUGCAGGAUAUAGAGGAACUUUUGAAUUUCAUCGGUGUAACGAGUUUAGGACCUUGGCAUGUUCUUGCAAAUUUGAAGGAGCUUCUAAGGUCUGUCCAGUCUUCAGAAUAUAUAGAUACCUGAAUUAAUUUUGAUUUUGUAGGAUCAACUAUAAUUAGCUACUUAUUACAGUAUGAAUAGACAACCUGACCUUCUUCACACACGACACAUGUGCGGAUUUUUUUACCAAUCCCAUUUCAUUAAAGAAAAAAAAGAGCUUUAAAAAAGGAUCACACUUUUUUGUUGUUUACAGAAUCAUAAUGUUAAUUAGAGUGGAAUAUUUCAGAUUUCUGAUAAUGAGUAUAUUAUUGAGUAUUGCAGUAAAAAAAUGGGUGUGCAACUUAUUUGAACUUUGAAUGUAUGUUUUGUUGGUGAGAAUAUAAAGUUGAUAAAGAUUUGGUAAAUAGAAUAAAAUACUAUUUUUUAUUAGAAAAAAUAUUUGGUACACUGCCAAUCGAGUUAUAAUUAUCAUGACACAAUAUUAAGGGUAAUUAAAACAUGUCAUAUUACAAAUAAUAAAAUUAUAAUGACUCAAAUCUGCAAACAUGUCAAAAUUUACGUACAAUGAAUUAUUAACAUGUAAAUGUAUAAUAUGGUAUGCAAAAAUAAGAUCAUUGCUUGUUUUUUAAAUUGAAUUGUUAUAACAUAUUGUACAAAAUACAUUGUGAAUUAAGGCAUAAUAUGAACAUGAUAUCAAAAUAUUAAAUUUUUUUAAAAUUCGAUGAUAUGAAUAAUUAUGUAAAAUAUAACAUGAUACAAAAUAACUUGAAAGGAAAAGAGGAAUAAAGAAUUGCAUUGUUUUUGAGGUUUUAAAAUAUUUCAGUUUUAGAUUCAUUUUUCUAGUAUGUUUGGUUUAAUUUUACAUUAGAUUUCCUUUACAGUAUGCACUAGUGAACGCUUAGUAUUCAAUUUAAUUUAAUUCAAAGAGAUAUUGCAUAUACAUAAUAAUGGAUUAUGAUUUUACAUUAAAUUUCAUAGAAGAAAAAAGAAAUAGAUGGUUGAAAAUGAUAAAAUCAUAAGAUAAAAGAGCUUUUAUUUAAAAUUCAAAAAUCAACAAAAUAUUCAUUAUCGCUCAACUUAGCAUAAUUAAACAUUUAGGUGUGAAAAUCAAAUUACAAUUUGAGUAGCUAAACACAUUGCUUGAAAAUGUGAUAAGUAAGAAAAUUGCCCACAUUUGAGUAGCGACAGGUGGUGAUGCAUUUCCCAAUGAGAGAAAACCAAACUCUUCGCCAGUAUGGAUUUAUGUAGAGGACAACAAAAAUUGUCAACAACACAACUACAUAAGAAACCAAAAAGCUCACACAAAAAUCAUAAGUACCUAUCAAACCAUCUUCUCCUUUAUCUUCUGAUACAGUUGAUAUCGUUGAUGGUGAAUCGGUUUUGGAACAACUUUUAUGCAAUAUAGCUCCACAAAGAAAAAGAUUUCCCUCAUAACUGUUUUCAAUAAAGGUCCCAAAUUGAGCUUUUGGUUCGGGAAUACUACCUGACAAGUUGUUGUAUGCCACGCUGAAAACCUCCAAAGAGUUCAACUCUACCAACUGGUUGGGGAUUUCACCACUCAAAUUGUUGUAAGAAAGGUCCAAACUCUCAAUUUGAUGAAGUUUUGCUAAUGAUGAGGGUAUAACUCCUGUCAACUUAUUAUGCGACAAGUUUAAAGAAUAGAUUUCACUUAAGUUCCCUAAUUCUGGUGGGAUAUGACCAGUUAAGUUGUUGCAAGAUAAAUCAAUCCCGGUCAUAUAUAUAAGGAUGUUUCCCUCGUACGAUAAGAACCCACUCUUUGUUGUGAACUCUAUUACUUCUUCUAAGUAGCCUUCAGGAUAGUAAUAAUUUCCAAGAGCUCCCAAUGUUUUCGCUAAUCCAUCCCCUGUUAACCUUGGUCUAAUUUUCGAAUCAGUUAGAAUCUUAUUUGUUUCCGUUGAAAGGGUUAAAUUUCCCAAACAAGAAGGUAUAAUACCAGAAAACAUAUUUUGAGAAAGAUCUAUGAUGUUUAAAGAAUCCAACUUGCAUAACUGAACUGGAACUUCACCAUGAAAAUGAUUAUCUUUCAAGAGAAGAACACUCAAUGAAGAAAGUGUGCCAAUCCAUUUUGGAAUACUACCAGUCAAAUUGUUUCCUCUAAGAUCUAACGUAACCAGUGAAGAGAUAUUAUAAAAAGCGAUUGGUAGUGGGCCACUUAGUCUACUCCCGUGCAGGUGGACAUGCUUUAUGUUUAGGGUAUUAAAGCAGGACGGUAUAGAGCCAAAUAAAUUGUUUUCAGAGAGAUCCAAAAAUUCCAAGCGAUUCAAGUUGCAAAAUUCCAUUGGAAUAGAACCCUCGAAACCAUUUUGGGACAAAGCUAAUCUCUCCAAAAAUGACACAUUCCCCAUCCAUCUUGGGAGGUUUCCAUAAAACUUGUUAUUUCUGAGAUUGAUUUCCCUUAGUGAAGUUGGAAACUCAGAAAUAGAGACAUCAACAUUUGCCAUCUCCCCAGAAAAAUUAUUUCCAUCCAAAUAUAAUUUUGACAGCCCAUUUGCAUUGAGAAUCACAGGAAGCACAUGUCCACUGAGGUUGUUGUUUGAUAGUCUCAAAAUGGUCAACGAGUUUUUUGUGAUUAACUCUUCAGGUACUCUUCCAGACAAUUGAUUGUUUGAUAAAUCUAAAAUCGAUAAAUCCUUCAUGCCACUCAAACAAGGAGGGAUAUCACCUUCGAAGGCAUUCUUGGAUAAGAACAAUAGGCUCAAAUGUGGAAAAGGUGAACACACGUUGGCUGGAAUCUGACCUUGCAAUUUGUUUUGGGAUAUGUCAAUUAAAGACACUUUAGAGUUAGGAGCUGACGGUAAUGAGAGAGGACCGGUAAAUGAAUUACCCUUCAAGAUGAGAUCUUCUAACUUUGUGUUGUUUUCUAACAACCAAGUUGGGACUGUUCCGCUGAAAUUGUUAUGAGAAAGAUCCACAUAUCUCAAGUCAUAUUGGUAGUAAAGGAAGGUAGGAAGCUUACAACUGAGCUGUUGAGAUGUUAUGCACUUUGGCAAACUAAUGACUUCCAAUUGGAACUUUGGGAUUGAGGUAUAAAAGGAAGGUUCCGUUACCAUCUUGUUUUCAUUACUCAAGAGGGCUUUGAGGUUUGAAAGGUUUGCAAAUGGUGCGAAUGACAACGGAAUUUGAAAAUGGUUUCCUGAAAUAUCUAACUCACGAAGAGAUGUCAAGUUACUGAAACAAUGAGGAAG